rnacentral:lncRNA from 1 species
GAUGUAGUUUUUAUUUUUUUAUUUUUUUACUUGCAAAAUUAAGAAAAUACAAAGACACAUAUAUGAUCAUCAGGUGGUCUGGGAGCCAGUAACGUGACCUUCAGCUCCUUGUUUUUACAUUAUUACAGCGGAAAUCACAUAUAUACGUAAAUAAAGCUACGUAGUUGGAGGAGAGUGUACGAAGAUCUGUUUAUUAUAUAAGUAAUGCAUGAGCAGGGGAGAAUUAAGUAUGGAUGGUAAAAGGUAGAUGAAAAUAAUUAAUAGUUUAGUUUCGUACAAAUGUGCGCGGGUAGUAGAAGAUGGACGGACGGAUGGGUGGACGGAUAGAGGAUGAGGGCCUAUAUAUGUAUAUAUAUGAGUUUAAGUUUUAAUGGAAAUGCCAAACUGGGGAGCUUGAAUUAGGAGAUCUUUGAGCUCUUCGAAGGAGAUUUUGUUUUCUCCCUUUUUACUGCCGUAGGCAAUGGCACGUUCAGCCAUGAAACUUGGAGUAAGAGCACCCAGAUCGUCGAACAGCUGCUUCAGCUCUUCCUUGUUUAUAGUUUUGUCGUCGUUCGUAGCCAACCCUUCGAACAUCAUCUUCAACUCGUCAAUCUUCACGUUUUGGCUUAUCAGUGCCCGUCUUCUUGCCAAACGAGCCAUUUCUUCUUCGUCUCUUCCUUAAUUCUCUCUCUCUUUUCUUUGCUUAUCUAAUCUUUGCCUGAUUUGCUGUAUACUUGCAUGGCGCAAGUCUUUAUAUAACCAUCCUCAAGUGCAUGCAUCAACGUUACUUUCUAAAUUUCUAAGCGGAAGUCUCUAGAAGAUAAGUUUAAAUUUUAUUACACGCAUACAUUAAUUAUAAAAUAAUUAUUUAAUAAAAAAUAUAUAAAUAAAGUAUUAUUAAGUGUUAAAUAUUAGAGAUAAAGUGAAAUUACGUGUUUUUAUCUCUAUUAAAUAAAGUAUUAUUUAGUAUACGAGGGAAGUAAUUUAAAAAUUUAGAAAAAAAAUAAUAAUAAUAAUAUUUUAAAAUAUUAUUGUAAUUUGUAAUUAAUUAUAUAAUCUGAAUUAGAAAAGAAACGUCGCCGUUUGAUGUUAUUUGUCGAAGUUGGAAAGAAUAAAAAGUAGAGAUUAGUUUUGUGAAGUGAGAAUCUUAGAAAAAGCAGAUGCUUGAGUUACUUGUUGGAACAAGUGGAGAGGAGGUGGCAUCAUUCAUUGCGUCCUCAACAAUAUUACUCCAUCCCGAAAAGAAAUUCCAAGAAAAUUAAUCGCUCAAAUCUUAUUUAAGCAAUUAAUUAAUUAAAAAUAAACCUUCUAGAACAGUUCUCACAUAGUAUAUAACAGUUUUUACUUUUAACUUAACAAUUUCUAUAUAAUAAUUACGUACAAGAGAUGAUAUAGACAUGUAGGAGAAUCCUUUGGGUGGAGAAUAAUUAAAGGUGCACCGAGUUGUUGUUAUCUUGUAAGAUUCUUUCAUCACCACCUUUCGGUUUUUGUAUUUUUUUGUUUGAUUUAAUUUGAUUCUAUUCGAUUAUAAAGAUAUCAUUUUUUUCGGUUUAAUUUUGUAGACACGAAUAAAUAAAUUAAUUGUCACUAUCUAUUUCAAUAUGCGAUUUUUAAGAAUGAGUGAUUCAAAUAAAUUUACUUAAAUAAUAAUAUAAGUAGGAUUUUUUUGUAAAAAAAAGAAAAUACAAUCCUAAAGUAUUAUAAACUCUUUCUAAAAAAAAAACAAGUUUGUAAUUUGAUUAUAAAAUUUAUAAAAAUCGAAUAUAAAAAUUUACUUCACUAAAUUAACGUAGUAAUUUAAGUAUUAAGUGAUUUUCAACCAAUUUAACAAUGUUUUGCACUUUCUGCGAUUUUUACUAAAUUAUGAGUUAAAAUUAUCCUUAUAUUCUAUACAUAUAACUUAACUAAAGCAAUCGAGAUAUAUUCAACCAUAUCGAUUAAUUGAAGCAUCAAAUUUCAAUUUGUAAAACUCCAUUUGACUGAGGAGACCAUACUCAUUGGUGGAUCGAUGCCUUUACUUGAACAAGCAUCCCCUAAAACAAAUCCUCUACCCAAAGGCUUACCCCUCCAUAACACUAAGACAGAUACACAUACGUGAAAGAUAUGAUCGAUGGUCUAUAACGCUUCCCCAUGCAUCAAACAUAUAGGGUUGACUUGGACACCUUUUUCAUUCAACCUAAUUUGCACUACUAAUAUGUCUUUGUAGAGUCUCCAAAUUAUAUGCUUGACUAGAGGCCAAACCCAGUAUAAUGCUACAUAUGUUAGUUGGUUUCUUUUAUAUAUACAUAAGUCAUAUUUGUUGUAACAAAGUAUUUAUGUUGACAUAUAAGUGCUUUUUAAGAAAGACCAUUUGUGCUUGAAUGAAAGAUAUACAAGUUGGUAUUCGUCAUCAAUAUAAUUCAUGUUUUAUCUUUCAAAUUUUAGAUGUGAAUCUACAAAACAAUUGCUUUUCUUUUCAAGAAAAAGGAUUUAAAAAAUCUACGAGUUGGUGUUCAAAUUUUAACUUCAAUUUAAUUUGAAGGUUUUCAUUUCUCUUUUUCUUUAAUUUUCAUUUAUUCCUUUGUUGUUCGUUCCCUUAGUGUGUUCCUUUCUCUCUUUCGUUUGGCUUUCAUUCCAUUUUCUUUCCUCCAUCGCCAGGGCAGCGUCGUAACAGGUCGAGUAUUCCUCUCUUGCAUGUCCCACUUCAGUGUUUUCCCCAUUUUCCUUCAUCAACUCAGCUCACGCGAAUUUCUCCUCUGCACAUGCCAUGCCAAGCCUUAAAAGAAAUCUUCCCCUUCACAUGGCUCAGCCACCACCUUCCAUCUGGUGGAAGAAGACAAAAGCGAGUCUCCCCAAACUCUUGCGUCCGAUUGAAAGGUUUCUCCAAAACGACGUCGUUUUGUAGCAAAUUAAAAGAAUCGAACUGAACGGUGCCGUUCGGGCUUCUUCUGUUAGCAUUGGCUCCUGUUAAGGCUGUUAGUUUUUUUUUUUUUUGUUGAAUUAUAUUGAAACGGCGUCUAUUUAACCCCUUAGGGACUGGAUCCUCUAUAUCUAGGCCCGCUUUGAAUUCGACCUGCUGUUAUUCCUAAUUACGAUAUCAAAUAUAAAAUAUUUAGUUUAAGAUUGAAUAAAGUUUAUCUUUUUUUUAAAAAAAAAAAAUUCAUUAAAUGCACUUAAUAUAAAAAAUAAAAGCUUUUUUUCCUCAUAAAGUUAUAAGAGGAAAAAUAAAUAAAGAAUAUAUUGAUUUAAAGAAAAAUUAUUACAUUUGGUAUAAGAUAUAAAACUUUAGUACACAGAUAAUUAAUUAGGAAAUGAGAAGUAAAAUUCAUUAUUUUGGGAAUAGACAUUAGUUCUGGUAUGAGCUCUCAAACUUAUCACAGUUUAAUAUGAUGUUUUUAUAGUUAUUUUAAAUAUAUAUACCAUUAAUUAUACGAAUUAAAUUGAUAAUAUAUUUUUUUUUUCAGAUAUAAGAUGCUUUUAUUUAUUUAAAAUUUUGGGUGUUUGUACAUUUUUAAAUAUGGGUUUUGUCAGUAAGAAAAAUUGCACUCAUCUUUUUAGAGGAGUUGAACGAACCCUCCCAUGAAUAUGUCUGUGUGGUUGAUUGUGAUAUAGAAGAAGUAGAAACUUUCAAGUAGAAUAAAAACAGGAGAAGAAAUUCAACGUAUACAAAUACACACACACACACAUAUAUAUAUAUAUAUAUAUAUAUGGAGUAGAGAGAAAUUAGAAACUUUCCAUUAGACAGCAGGAAGUAACAAAAACAAGAGAAAACAUUCAUUAUAUAUAUAUAUAUAUAAAAUAAAGGGUGGGAGAUAUAUUAUUGGCUUAUUGAUGAGUUUGGAAGAAGGGUGCGGAUGUAACUUAUAAGUUUGCUAGGCCUUAAUGGUGUAUCCAAGAGAAGAAACGUAUUUGAUUAGUUUUGGAAGCUCAUUUUCAUCGACGAAGCCAUCUCCGUCGCCAUCAGCAAACUUCAUUCCACGCCAAGCUCUGAAUCCAGGAACUAAGGCACCCAAGUUCAAGAAAGCAAUCUUUAACUCUUCUGUACUCAAACGUUGGUCGCCAUUGGAAUCAAAUUUCAUCAAGGCAGCCUUUAUGUUCUCCUCAGUUGGGCAUUUGAGUGGCGCUGGUGCUCCCUUCCCAAUUAUAUGAGGCAUCUUAAACUAAUUCUUCAAACAAAUUUUAUACUAUUGAUUUUGUUUUUGUUGCUAUGAUCUUACAAAGCAAAUCAACAAGGCUAUUUAUAGAUCUUUUGCAAGUUAAUCUUUCUCAUUCAAAAUAUUCUCGCUUAUCUUCAAAUGGUUGAUGGAUAUAUAGCUAGAAUCUUUUUACUUCCUCAUGCACUGGCCGUGCGCCAAUGGGUAUAUAUAUAUAUAUAUGCUCAAAUCUAUUUAUAUCUACUUGGGCUCCACAGCAUGUAAUAUGUGUUCCAUUACUGAUUAAAGUGUGUUAAGGGAACACUUACAUGGGUGUGUGUAUAUACAUAUACAUAUAUAUAUAUGUGAUCACUUGAUAAUCAUCAAUUUAACAAGUAAACUAAGUUACAACUUACUUUUAUCUUUGGAUUGUAUUUAUACCUUAUUAUUGUGCACUUGGAGUGUCGGCCUUAAUUUGAAUGCAUUAAUGCUUAAAUGGAAUUAUUGCAUGGAUUUCAAUGUUUUUAAUGUGUCAUGUCAAAAGAUUCGGUAAUCCAAUUAAAAGAUUAGUUUGAUUAAGACAAUCACGUAACUAAUUAAAAAUUAAUAUCACAAUUAGAAUUAUCAAGAUAUUAUUAUCAUCACUAUUAUUAUUAUUUAUUUUAUUUUAACAAGAUUAAAUUGAGAUAUCAUAAUUAAAUUUUUUUUAUAAAAUAUGUAUCAUCUUCCACGGUAUCAUUUUAAUGAGGCAAGUUGACACUUCAGUUUUAAAGCAUUCAUAAUUAAAAAAUCUCAAGCACGAUUUAAGAUGGAGAAUGAAUUAAAGUAUGAUAUGAAAAAAAUCUUAAUUUAUCUUAUCAUAGUUAAAGUACAAAAAUAUCAUUAGGUAUUGGCCAAUACAUUUGGUAUCAAGUAAUAGUUGAUGUGACAAAAAAUUUUAUAUUAAUAUUAAACUGAUAUGAUUCGUACUCACUCAUAGAAUAUUAUAUUCAAAUAAUCUCCAUUCAAAAUUUUAUUUGUUCUUAAAGAUUACACUUUUUUAAUGUUCAUUGAAAAAAAUUUCAUAGUUUAUAAUUUUAUGACGUUAUUUAUAUUUAUAAUUAUUUUAAAUUUGAGAAAGCAGUUAAUAGAAAUCAUUUAAGCAUUAUUGUCUAUAUGUAAGAAAGUAUAAAUGAAAUCCAUCACAAUUAGAGAUGAACCAAAAAAAAAAAAUUGUGACCCAUCAAACCUGUAUUUUGAAUUAAGAACAAAACAUGUGUGUGUGUGUGUGUAUAUAUAUAUAUAUAUAUAUAUUUGAAUCAACACUGAGUUUAGAGUAGAUUCUGAGUUUAUGUAUUAUAAUUAUGAAUUAGAUUCAAAUUUUACAAAAAUUCCUUAUGAACUUGAUCUAUUACUAUCCCUAAUUAUAAUACAAAAUAUAAGAUCCUUACUUUAAGAUGAGAAAAAAUGAAUGAAGUUUACCUUAUUUUAGAUAUAUCAAAUUUCAUUUAAAAAAAAAAGUUUUAUCACAUUAUAACACAAUUGUCAAGUUGAAGCUUUUGUAAUUAUCUAAAAUAUACGUACUUCUUGUUAUAAGAACUAAAUUACAUAUAUUCAAGUAAGAAAUUUGUAAUAUUUUUUCGCAUAAGAUGCUUUUAUCUAUUUAAAAUUGACAGUGUUUGCUCAUUAUUAAAUACGUCUUAUUCAAAAAAAUUUAUUCGGUAAGAAAUUUUGUACUCAGUCAUCUUAGCUAUAUAUUAAUUUUUGGGUCGAGUAAGAUUUUGAAUAGAUAAUCCAAAUUGAAAUAUCAUCCAAAUUGAAGAAAUAUAUUUGGUUAAUAUAAUGUAUUGAGUUUAGAAAAAUCAUCGUCAAAAAUAUAAUAUAUUAUGAAGGUGUAUGAACUAUCCAUAUAUUUUUGUGGGUAUGUGUGGUAUACUGGAAGUAGAAAGAAACUUUGAAGUAGAAUAAAAAUAAGAGAAGAAAUUCAAGGUAUAUAAAUAUACAUAUAUAUAUAUAUAGAGAGAGAGAGAGAGAGAGAGUAGAAAGAAGGUAGAAACUUUCCAUUAGACAGCAGAAAGUAACAAAAAUAAGAGAAGAUAUUCAACAUAUAUAUAUAUAUAUAUAUAUAUAAAAUAAAGGAUGCGGGAUAUAUUAUUGGCUUAUUGAUGAGUUUGGAAGAACGGUGCGGAUAGAACUUAUAAGUCCUAGGCCUUAAUGGCGUAUCCAAGAGAAGAAACGUAUUUGAUAAGUUUAGGAAGCUCAUUUUCAUCGACGAAUCCAUCUCCAUCAUCAUCAGCAAGCUUCAUUCCACGCCAAGAUCUGAAUCCAGGAACCAAGGCGCCCAAGUUUGAGAAAGCUUUCUUUAACUCUUCUUUACUCAGACGAUGAUCACCAUUGGAAUCAAAUUUCAUCAAAGCGGCCUUUAUGUCCUCCUCAGUUGGGCGUUUGGGUGGCGAUGGUGCUUUCUUCCCCACCAUAUGAGGCAUCUUUACUUAAUUCUUCAGACAAAUUUUAUAAUAUUGUUUUUGUUUUUGUUUUUGUUGGUACGAUCUUACAGUGCAAAUGAACAAGGCUAUUUAUAGAUGUUAUCAACGUCAAACCUUUCUUUUUCAAAAUAUUCUUGCUUAUCUUUCAAUGAAUGAUGGAUAUAUAACUAGAAUCCUUUUAUUUCCUCAUGCACUUGCCAUGCACCAAGGGAUAUAUACAUAUAUAUAUAUAUAUAUAUGUAUAUGUUUAUAUAUGCUCAAAUCUAUUUAUAUCUAUAUGGGCUCCACGACAUGUAAUGUAGUAUGUUAAGGGAACACUUAUAUUUAUAUAUAUGUAUAAAUGAUCCCGUGAUAAUCUAACUUUUAAAUUUGAAUUGCAUCUAUACUUUAUUAUAAUUAUUUUAGAUAUUUCUCUACUAAGAUAUUUUUAUGUUUAUAGUAAUUUUAUUUGUGAUUAAAAUAAAAUUUAUUUUUAAAAAUAAAAAUAUCAUUUACAUCACGUAAGAAUAUAUAUAAAAAUUGAAUAUUGAAAAUAAUUUAAACAAUUUAAAAAUUUAAUAAAGUUUUUAAGCCAAAGAAAUUUUAAUAUAAAUUAUUUACGUGGUAAAACUUUUUAAAAUAUUUUAAAAGAUAAGCGAAACACGAAAACUUCUCAAAAGAUCCUGUGCAUUAAUGCUAAUGCCAAAACUUUUAAUAUUUAAAUAAUCUGUGUUUAAAUUGAUAAUACUAUAUUAUCUUACUAAUGAUCAAAUUAUAAAUACUAUUACGUGCUAAAAAUAAGCCGCAUUAAAAAUUCCAACACUAUAAUUUCCCAUUGGGCUUUAUCAAAGCCCAAGUGGAAUACGCUAAAGUCCAGGCCCAUUUUUACGAGUCUCUGUCUAACUCUUAACACCGACCCCAAACUCGACAUGUUCCUCUUCCCAAUUCACAAAAAUGGAGUUACCAAAGCCCGCAUUUUCCUUCAAUCCUCUCUCCUCACUCCCAACAUUCAUCAAUCACCAUUCCCACCGACUUGGUACGGAGCUUUCAAGCCGAAUCGACGAAACCAAGCGGCUCGCCGGAUCCCUAGCCGGAAACUUCUCACCGUUUCCGGCUGUUAACUGGCUUCAGCGUCCCGCUUUUCGGCCUCCCUUCGCUUCACUUGCACAGCCGAAGCAAGCUGCCGUCGCAACACUCAGCUCGGAGCAAGUUGCCAAAGCCCUUGCUGGCACUCCCGUAUACACCGUGAGUAACUCGAAUAAUGAGUUCGUGCUCGUGUCGGAUCCCAAUGGAGUCAAAUCCAUCAGUUUGCUUUGCUUUCGACAAGAGGAUGCGGAGGCCUUUCUUGCUCAGGUUGGUGUUUUCCAGUAAGAGUAAGGAAAGGAAUGGAAAAAGAGGGGAAGUUUAAACUCGUGUGUUUUCUGUGCGUGCCAGUGUAUGUGUUUGACUUUUGUUGUUACGUGGCAUUGGGUCUUCAGGUUCGGUUGCGAAGGAGAGAAUUGAGGAGUAAUGCUAAGGUUGUUCCCGUUAGUCUUGACCAGGUAAGGUCUUUAAGCUCACUUACAUUCUUAUUUUCUCGUGUUAACUCUCAAUUUGGUCUCUGUGCAUCUUAAUAUGGAGCCGUACCAAAUGAAUGUUGAAAGUUUCUCUUUCUGUGCAUCUUAUAGGUAUACUCGUUGAAGGUUGAAGGUAUUGCAUUUCGUUUCCUGCCUGAUCCUGUUCAAAUAAAGAAUGCAUUGGAGGUUAGUUCUUCAUAUUGUCUUGUAUUGACUGUUAAUUUAGUCUUCAUUAAAUAAUUAACAAGAAUUAAGAAAUUGUUCAUGAUUUUACUUUGAAAGUUGAUAAGUUUAUUAGUUAUCCUACAAUUCAGAUUGAGCAAUUAUGAGAUCAAACUGACAAUAUUUUCCUUUGUCUAUCAGCUGAAAUCUGCAGAUAUCAAUAGUGGGUUUGAUGGAGUUCCUGUUUUUCAGGUAUACAGUUAACAUGUUGAGUAAAUGCUGGUGCUUCAAACCGGAAAAUAACUAUCCUUCAGAUGGCAUGAUCAUUACUUGUACUUACAAAAAGAACAGCUUUUACAUAUGCUUAUGCAUGCAUGAUCACUUACAUGCAAAUACUUGCAUAGAGGGGUUAAGUGAUUUAUGAUUGUGUUUGAAUGCUUGCAAUUCAUUUAGUUGAAAAAUAGUUUAUGAAAGAAGAUUUAAUAACAGUGUCAGAUUUCAAUACUUCUCCAAAAAAAAAAAUGUUGGGACUCCAUUACCUAUUUACUUUUCUACAAAAGAAAUUAGAAACUAUUCCCUGAAUUCAUUUUAUUUGAAUGGUUAGACUUCUUAUAUUUCUUAUUUUCCUCUAGCAAUUUGAAAAUAGUUUGAGAUGAGCCUUUUCUUUUUAAGGUGCAUUGGUACAAACUGCUGCACCAUUUGCCAAUGUACCAAAAGAUCUAUAUGGUUUCUUACUUCCUUAUCACUGUGUUUGCAGUCAGAUCUUCUGGUAGUGAAGAAGAAAAAUAAGCGUUACUGCCCAGUAUAUUUCAAUAAGGUUCAUUUGUCCCAUAAAUCACCUUUUCUUAAGCUGUUUUAUUUUUGGAACAAUAUUUUAGAAGAAACAGCUUAGAAGCACAACAUAUUGAUUUUCCCUUCUCUUCCCUCUCUUUCCCCCAUGCAGGAAGAUAUAGAAAAGGAACUCUUGAAGUCCUCAAGGGUAUCAAGAGGACUGGGUGUUUCACAGCAUAUUAUGGUAUUACUUUAGCGUCAUAUCCAUUCUUUUUGCAGCUUUUUAAACAUUUGGACUAUAAAAUUUAAGUGGUCAAAGAAUAAUUACUGUACAGAAGAUCUAUGCAAUAUAUGAAAAUUUUAUCUCAUUUGUUGAAGGGAGGGUAGCGAUGGACUAAAAAGUUUGUGGAGGGAGAAGUGACACUUCUUUUCAACUGUGCUAUUCCCAAUUUUUAAAUCGAAUUAGAAGUCAAUGUAAUAGUGACGAUAAUAGUUUCAAUGUUCUCAUUUCAAAGAAUUGUAUACUCUAUUUGGUAGGUGAAAAGACUUUCUAAUUUCAUUUCUAAAUUGGUAUGUCUUUAUUAGUACAAACAUGUGAUAGUUAAACAUGAAAAUCAUAUUUGGAAAAUGGGAAUAAAAAUGUAACAUGAGUUGAAACGAAACAAUUAAAAAAGCUGUGUCCAACAUCUUCUAGAAAACUGUUUUUAUUUAUAUUUAAGUUCAACAUAUACAUCCACCACCGUACAUGUUAUUAUAUAGUAGUGUUUUUUAAUUUAAUGAAAAUUAAAAAUGUUUCCUUUAUGAAGUGAAGCUGUUGCCUUUCACAUCAUGUUUCUACACAGAUUUCAUUAUUUAUGCAUAUAGUAUUUAAGUACGAAAAUAAGUGAUUUGGUAAACAAGAUAAGAAACUUCUCAAAAUAAGUAAUUCACAGGUUUUGCAAACUCGAUGCGGAUUGCAUGUUUAUGUGGUUAUACUGGAAUUGCUCUUUUAUUUUUAUUACCUUGAUAGAAUCUUCUAGAAUCCGUGAUCUUUGGUUCUAACCUUUAUGUAUUUCAUUUAAGGGCCAUCCUCUCCUCAAUGAAGAAGAUAUAGUGCCCUCUUUCUAUCUAGGCCUCUGAGUAUCUAAAGUAUAAGUAAAUGAUUUGAUAAACAAGAUAAUGAAAUUUAAAGGAAAAUAAUUCAGAGUUUCACAAAAUUCGAUCCAAAUUGCACGCUCACGUGGUUAUAGUGGCAUUUCUCUUUUAUUUAUAUUCUCUUAAUUGUAUCUUAAGAGUCAGUAAUCUUUUGUACCGAGCUUUAUGUAUUUUGUUUAAAAGUCGUCCUCUCUUCAAUGAAGAAGACCUAGUGAACUUUGUUGAUAUUUGACUAAUUCUGUUUUCUACUCUCUCCAGAGGCUCACUAUCUUGUAUAUGAGUGAUAUCCCCUCAGUACCUUUUCUCCUCCAAAUGAAAUCUUCUUUUUUUGUUGAAAGAUAUGUGAUAUACUGGCAUGGGUUCAAAUCUUUCUUUGUACUUAACUGAUAAACAUUGGGCAUUUCCUGCCUUAAUAUCCACCAUGUUUAGUUUGUUCGUACCUUAGAUGAAACCAAUAAACUGAUGUGUUCAUUUGACAAAUGCAAGUGCAAUUAUGUAUACAACACCAGGAGUUUCUUAUUUUACUUUGAUCUAUUCUUUUUAAACUUUUAUCAGCACUUUACGCUCUGUAUAAUAUUUGUUAUCUAAUUCAGUCUGUUGAACAGGUUGGAAGUCUAGAAGAUGUCUGAGAAAAAUGGAGGUAAUGAGCAUGAUUAGAUUUAGUACAUUUCUGAUUAGAAAAGGAUUAGAAUCUGAAUCAGUUGCUUUGGUUUUAUCUAGAUGAGUGAGAGGAACUCAGGUUGGGGAGAUCUGAUUUUUAUUCCGCCUGGUAAAAGUCACUCCCAGCACAUCCAAGAGGUGGUCAAAGGAUGAGAUCAUGGAUAUAUUGCUUCUACUGAUGAUGUGGAGCUUCAGAAGACAGUGAAUAUCUUUUUUUUUUCUGCUUCCGAUCUCCAUGGUAAAGCAGGUCAGUCAUCAACACUAAAUGAUAAAUUACCUGCUUGUUGACACCCUUUCUCUCUCGCAAUGGAGAAAGAUUUUGGAAAGUAACAGCCUGUAUGGUAACUUGAUGAGGAUGAAUACAUUUUUAUUGAAAUUAAUACAAGAUAAAUGGCUCGCAUUUAAGUGGAAGAAGUAAGUGAAAUGCUAGCAUGUCAAUGCUGGUCAUUGGAAAUUGUUAUACUGUACAGUUUGAUGUUUUUAAUGAGUACUUUGUUAUUUAGACAUACUGUUGCAGAUGAAUGGACUUAGUCAAUGAAAUGCUAGCAUGUCAAUGCUGGUCUGGAAUUUUCUAGUUGUUUUUCAGCAUCUGAUGAAGCACUACAAAGGAAAAUUAGAAGUUGGGGGAAACUUAAUCUCAACAAUAGGAAGUUGUGAUUAUUGUCCUUUUCAACACUAGACUGAGUUUUAACUGCUUGCCAUUGUGGUUUAUUUUUCCAUUUAAAAGCUUUUUUUGCCUCCUUGGAUUUUUUGUACCCUGCUCUUUCUUGGGAAAUCUAGUAUGGUAUUCCACAAAUUUAUUGGGAUGAGUUUAUAAUGUGAUAGAAAUUUAAGUGUUCGUAUAAAAUUGAGAUCUCAACCACUUGGUUUUCUUUUUGUUCUCAUGUUUUUCCUAUACACUCUUGUUAUUGCAGCUGUGAGUAUUAUCCUGGAGCAGAUGAAUGCAAUUAAAAAUAUGUGGAAUUCCCUUUUUCAAGGCAAAAUUUCUAUGUUUACAAUUCUUUUAGAAUUCGAAUCGAUUUCAAGAUGAAUUUAGCAAGUUUAAAAUUCAUCAAAUAUGAUAUAAUUUGAGAAUGACUUUGAAAGACUGGAGGGAAAAAGGUUUCAGAUGUCUUUUGCAACUGGUAUUCAUGCAUCACAAAAAGAGACUACUGAAACAACUGGUGAGUAUGAAGUAAAUGUGCUCAUAUCAUUUCAUGAUAGUGAGUAUGAACGAGGGUUCCAAGCCUGCAGACCCCCGCACCUCAUACUUCGAGGGAUUCAGACUCUGUUUGGAUUUGUUUUUUUGUUGAAAAAACAUGCUUUGAAGUAGUAGAAUGCCUAAUUACUUACGUGCUUAAAUUUCAAAAGACUAGUACGUAUUAUAUUUUGUAUUCUUUGCAAAAGAAUAAAGAGAUGAUCGCUAAACAAAUGAUUGAACAUGUUAAGAAAAGAAAAGAAUGUUAUAUGUGAGUACAGAAAAAGUUGAAAGCAUACAGGAACGAGUAUGUGUUUUUCAUUGGUUAAAUUUCCUCUAGGUACAGAGGAGGCAGCUUAAUGCGUUACCAGACAUGUAAAUUCGACCUCUGUCGAUUGUAAGAACUCGUCGAGGGAGGGUGUUGAUUCUAAAAAAAAACAUGCUUCCAUUUUAAAACAUGUAAUUAAUCUUAAAACAAAAACUGGGAACGUGAGUAAAGAAUUGGGUGAGUGAAAUGGUGACUGUUCACCAAACCGAAAGGUCAUAGGGCGUGCGUAUAAUAAGCUGUGGAAAUAUGUUUUAGGUGAGGUGUGAUGUCUCAACUUAAAUCACGUUUUGAAUUAUAAAUUAAUGAUUUGAGUUUUGGUGGAUUUCUGGUAACGGCCAAAUGUGACCUUUGCACGUAGAGGAGGUCGACAGGCCAUCCGCAGAGUUGUUGGCGUCCUCGUCUACUUUGACCCGAUGAAUCUCUUUUACCAUUUUAACCUUUUUUAUUCAUAAAUGCUUUUAUCCUAAAAAUACUCAUUAAAACAUUAUUAUGUUUUCUAUAUACUAUUAAUAUUAAUAUACUAAUUGUCCCGGUUGAUAUAGUGACUUGUGUUAAAGUUAUGUAGACAACAUGAAACACCUAAAAAAUGCUUAUGCAAAGUUAUAGUUCCCAGUGCAAUUUGUUCAUUAAAAAUAACAAUAAUUCUUGUUUAUAUUUUUAUAAAAUUAUAAAAUUAUUAAAAUAUAUUUAGAAUUAGAAUAUAUGUAAAUACACAGAGAAAAAAUUUGAAGUCUAUUGUCCAAAACAUGAUAACAAACAUGAGAACACAGUUAUAAAUACCUGACAACACAAUAAUGUGAUUGAAAAGAUAAAACGAACUAUCAUUGAGAAUGUGAGAUGUAUACUCAAAAUGACUACCCUACUUAAACUAUUUUAGGUCAAACCUCUAUUUAUUAUAUGUUACUUACUGAAUCAAUCUCUUUGGUUCUUUUAAAUUAUGACAUCUUUGAAAGAGGCGGGAGGGCAUAGAAAGAAAUCUCAUACUCUCACUUGGUGGAUGAACAUAUCAUCCAAGUAAGUUUAGACCUCAAAAGGAGAAAAUUAAUAAGCAAGAUAUAUAUAUAUAUAUAUAUAUAAAUUAAUCAGCUGGGUAAAAUGAGUUCUCAUAUAAAGAUAAAGAUGGGAGAUGCCCACUUCUUGAUGUUGUUGGUAUUUCACUGGACCAUGUAGUUUGACUACGGUUGAUCUAAUGACAUGCAGACAGUCAAAACAUUUGUGUUUUGAUUACAACUUAAAUGAAUUUUACUUAAAAAGUAUAUACUAAAAAAAAUAUUAUGUAUCUUUCAUUUCUAAUUUUCUGUAUAAAUAAAAAGUGACAAUUUUUAAUAAUUAAUGCCAUGUGUUUAAAUUUACUUCUGAAAUAAUUAAAACACAAUAAGACAAGAACCUGCAAGCUAGAUGUAUAUAUAUAUAUAUACGUGUGGAUAAAAUUGCGUAUACGAAUUAGAGAAAAUCAAGUAUAGACUGUAGAGUAGUUGUUGAAGGGAGAAGGUCAAUUGGGGAAUUGUAGAUUUUGAGUUUCUUUUAAAUAAAAUUCAAGCCGGACCAACAGGCAGGCAACUGCCUGAAAAGUGAAAACGAAAUAAAAGCUUUAUUUCCUCAAAACUUCUUGUCCACAAGCCAAGCAAAUCCUAAACAAGGAACCUCUUGACACAUGUACCUCCCUCGUUGCUCCCAUUUUCCUUUUCCCUUCUUUUACUUCUCUCGUGAUCUCUUAUGUCUAUAUUUAUGCAUGUAUAUAUAAAGAGGUGGGUACUGGUAUAUGCUAGAAUAUGUACAUACAUGUACAUAACUCAUCUGCAGCCGAGAACAUGAAUAAACCCAGUUCAGCUUUAAAUUAAAUCAUAUCUUAUUAGAAUGGUCAUGGGUGAUAGUGCAGUCAGCCUCGAGAAGAUGAUCAUAAACAAGGCCAAUAUUCCUUCCAAGGCAUUGAUCAUCAGACUCAACCUCAUUUUCCUUGUUUUCUUCUUUCUUGUCUACGCUGCUCUUCUUCUCAGACCAUCUUCGUCUUUAUACUUUUACAACGCUGCAUCACUUGUUAGGUGCUCUUUGCGCGAGUGCCAUCACAAGGUAAGGUGAGCUAAAACCCAUUUUCAUUCGUAUAUUGAUAUUUAGGAAUUGUCGUAAGAGGAAGAUGUUGUGUUUUUCAGGUGGAGAGAGGAGUUAAAAUGCAGGCAGAGUUUGACGGGAGAAACCCCAUUAUGGACAACGCUGUAGAGCGUAAGAGUAAUUUGAGUAAGCUAGAGGUGGCUAGCUUCAUGAACGAGAUGGGAAGAGGAUUAAAGAUUGGGAUGAUUAACAUGGAAGACGUGGAUGUUAGUGAAUUGGAAGUUUAUGGAGAACUUAUACAAAUUCAUUUCAAGAGAGUAUCAGAGAAUUUGGAAUGGAAAGAUUUAUUCCCAGAAUGGAUUGACGAGGAGGAAGACAAUGAGAAUCCAUGGUGUCCGGAGAUACCAAUGCCUGAGUUGAGAAUAUAUAAGGAUGAUAUGGACGUAAUAGUAGCAAAGUUGCCGUGCAAGUACCCAGAUGAAGGGUGGUCCAGGGAGGUUUUUAGGCUGCAGAUGCACCUGGUGCUGGCAACAAUGGCGGUGAACAAGGGGAAAAGAGACUGGAAUAGGAGGACAAAAGUGUUGUUGUGGAGCAAGUGCAGACCGAUGAUGGAGAUUUUCCGGUGCGAUGAUCUGAUCAGACAUGAAGGUAACUGGUGGUUGUAUCAGCCGGCCGUCGCAAGGUUGGAACAGAAGUUGAUGUUGCCGGUUGGAUCUUGCAACUUGGCUCUACCCUUGUGGGGACAAGGUUUGUUUCCUUUUUUCAUUUCUAUUAAUUUUUACUUUCCUACAGGUUUCUUCUUACCUCAAAUUUUAAUAAUUUUCUUUAAAUAAAAAUUUUAUAUAUUAACAAAUAAAUAAUAUAUAACACUACUUAUAAUACAAUAAAAAAUAGUUUUUUAAACAAAAAUACACGAAAUAUAAUUAAACUCAAGAAUUAUACCAAUUAUUUAAAUAAAUAAUUAUUAAUAAAUAUUAAAAAAAAUUAUUUCUCAAAAAUUAAUGAUAAAUUGCUUUUAACCAGGGAUUAUUAUGCAUUAAAUAUUUGGAGAAUACAAUUAAUAUGGUCUCCAUUAAUUGACUUUUUGAAUUUUUUUAUAAUAAUUUUUUUUAAGAAUACUCUUGAAUAACAAAAUAAUUUUUUUCUGUAGAUAUAUUGUUAUAGUAUUAAAAAUGAAGAAACUAUAGUAAUAUAUUGUUAUAAUAUAAGGUUUGGUUGUGUUUGAUGAUGUGAAAAUCAUAAGUCGUCUCAAAUAAAGGAAAGAAUAUUAAUCAAGAAAAUAUGCGGGUUACAAUUAUUAGGUACUAACAAAUCUUCACAUUCACACAAUUUAAUCUUUAAUCAUCAUAGGCAUAUUUUCUGUGCGUAUUAUUUAGAAAGUUAUUAUAUAUAUAUAUAUAUAUAUAUAUAUAUAGUCUAUGUUUGGUGAUCACAACAUACCUUAUUAUUAUAUUGGAUUGUAUUGAUCAAUACAAACCCAUUUCUAUAUAUUGCUGUAUAUCAUCUUUCAAGCUAAAUCAAAAUGAUGAACUAUAAAUAAUUAUUUACUUAAGACAUUAUUGUAGCAUAAUUCUUUCUGAAAAUUUCAGAACUUUGGUUCUUACCUUGGUCUAUGAGAAUUAAGAAGAAAUUAAUUAAAUUAAUCAAGUUAUAAUUAAUUACAGGUAUCCACGAAGUCUACGACACUUCCAAGAUCGAAAGCGCCGUAAAAAACCCUAGAAGAGAAGCCUAUGCAACGGUUCUCCAUUCCUCGGAAGCGUAUGUUUGUGGUGCCAUAACUCUCGGCCAGAGCCUCCAAAAAACCGGCACCAAACGCGACCUUCUAAUUCUCGUCGACAACUCCAUCACCGACGCCAAACGUCAAGCUCUGGUCGCUGCCGGUUGGACCAUCCGACUCAUCAAAAGAAUCCGUAACCGCAGAGCAGAAAAAGACUCCUACAACGAAUACAACUACAGCAAGUUCAGACUCUGGCAACUCACUGAUUACCAUAAAGUUAUCUUCAUUGACUCCGACAUCAUCGUACUCCGAAACCUCGAUCUCCUCUUUUACUUCCCACAAAUGUCAGCAACCGGAAACGACGUCUGGAUUUUCAACUCCGGCAUUAUGGUGAUCGAGCCCUCCAACUGCACUUUCAAACUACUGAUGAAACUGCAAGACGACAUCGUUUCGUAUAACGGGGGUGACCAGGGGUUUUUGAAUGAGGUUUUCGUUUGGUGGCACAGGUUGCCUCGGAGAGUCAAUUUUCUCAAGAACUUCUGGGCUAACACUUCGGUUGAGGCCAGCGUUAAGAACCAUCUGUUUGCGGCUGAUCCGCCCAAGCUUUAUUCGAUUCAUUAUUUGGGUUUAAAGCCUUGGUUGUGCUACAGAGACUAUGAUUGCAACUGGGACAUUGAUGAUCAACGAGUUUAUGCCAGUGACGUGGCGCAUGAAAGGUGGUGGAAGCUGCAUGACGCCAUGGAUGAGAACUUGCAGAAACAUUGUAGAUUGACGAAACGGAGGAGGAUCGAGUUGGAUUGGGAUAGAAAGAAAGCAAGAGAAGCUGGGUUUAGUGAUGAGCAUUGGCGGAUCAAUAUUACUGAUCCUAGACGGACCCUUUUGACUUAGAUACUCUAAUUUUCUUAUAUAUAUAUAUAUUUCUUUGUUGAAGAUUUUUGCUAGCUAGCUGUAUGUAGAGAAUUGUAUGGAAUUCUUUUUCUUUAUAUAUAUAAUUUAUGUGUGAAUAGAUGAUCAACACCCAGGAAACCACUUUAUAUCCGUUGUCUAUUCCUCCUCAUAUUAUUUAUUAUUAUAUAUUAACAUUUAUCAUACAUGAACUGUAUAAAAGAAUAUAAAUAUAUACGUGUUUGGGACUGUUAAUUUUGUUGCAGAUUCCUUCGCGAUGUUCUUUAAAAAAAAAAAUUUUUUUUAAAAAAAAGAAAAAGGUGGACCAGCUCCAUAACGGAUUAGGAAACAAAAGUGUUUUCAUUAUUUUAAAGGGAAAAAAUAUUUUUCAUAAUUGUCUGUUUGACGGUGACAGCAUUUUACUUAACCUCUUGUUCGUCGCGCGUGGCCUUCAUUUUGCUGUCACAUGCAUAUUUAUUUACCAAAUUGCCAAUCUCCGUUGAGCGUUUCCGCUACGUUUAUUUUGGUAAUUUGAAUAAGUUAUGAGGGUAAAAAUGUCUUUCGGUCAACGCUCAUCUUAACGGACGUUGAAGAGACAACUUUCCUUAAUGGACGCCGCCUUUUUUUACUUAUUUUCCUUUUUAACUGUAAAUAAUUUUUUAUUUAUUCGCUUUAAAAAUUAGGAAACCCACAGCCUUUUGAUUAUACCCACCAUUAAUUAUUAAGAAAAAAAUAUAUAUAAAGCUAAUCUUAAUAAAAUAUUAUAAGAACAACUUUCUUGUAUUUGUUUUUAAUUGUAAAUUUUCAAAACUCUGUGAGAGGUUGAAAUGAUGGAUUAGAAAUAAGUUAAUUUGGUUAAUAGAAUGAUUAAAGAAGAACCAUUUAUAUAGUUCUUCAAAUCCAUAAUUUGAUUUGUUUUAUGUCAUUGUCUGUCUUAUCUCUAAUGACGUUGUAAAAAAAAAAAAAAAAAAAAGGAAGGGUGGGCAAGCUGUCAAAAAUGUCUUCUUCUGGUUUAAACAUCUUGUGGUCAAAAACCCCGAAAGGGGAAAGAACAAGUAUGAAAGCCAUUACUAUUUUUAAACCCUAAACGAAUUUUCUUUUUGUUUUUGUUUUUUUGGUUUUUGGGUGAUUUUAAUUUUUUUUGUGAAGUUAAGAAAAAUUUAAAAAUCUCAUCUUCAAAGAUAGAAAUGGCGAGCAUACAGAUGGAUCUAGUCUGUGAUAGAUGAGCUAUGCUCCACGCACGUGUUUCCUCUCCGUUCUUUUCUCUUCCUAUUUUUGCCUCUUUAACUUUCCCACCUCUCUUUUCACUAACGUAUAUAUUCUCUUUUCCUUUUUUCCUUCUCUUUUUACUCUCUGAAUUUCCCGAAAUUCAUUCAUCUAUCUUCUUCCUUAAUCCUGGUACGUUCUUUCUAUUUUCUAAUCUUUCUUUAAUUUGCUUGGUUUUGGAUUCUCUUUUCUCUUUAUCCUUUGCUACCUGUUGAUUAAUAUCGACUUCACGAGUUUGAAUUAUUGGUGUUUCUCGAUCGGAUGACGAUAUAUACGUUGGCUUUCACAGCUACAAGAUGACGAAUCAAGUUUCAACUUCAAUUAAUUGAUGAUGUUUAUGUUUAUCAUUUAUUUCCACUAACCCUCCGUUUCUUAAAUGGUUGCUUUGAGCAUGUUGGAAUUUAUACCAAUUGGGUUUUUCUUGAAUUUGCCAACAAAAGCAGGUUUUGAUCCAACACAAGGUUUUGUUUCCAAAUUUGUUCUCAGGAGCUGACAUGUUGGGUAAUCUAGUUAUUUUAAGAUAAUGAGUAGUCUAAUUUACUCCCCUCAAAUUAAUCAAAUCUUGAAAGAGGGUUAUUUUCGUUGUUCUAUUUUGUUUACUGCUAUUCCCUUCUUUUCUCAGCUUGCAAACUUUCAUGGAACUUAACAUUCAGUUAUUUCUAUUUGCAUAUUAGUUUCAUAAUCCAAUAGAUAAUUGAGAGCUAGUUAGUGAUUAUAAUUAAUUUUGUAGCUCAAGCUUAUAAUAACAGUAUUUGAUCGCUGUUUGCUUAAAAUUCUUGUGAAAUCAUGCAUUAUGACUUGAUUGCAUGUUUGAAUCAUACCUGGUCUCAUUUUGGCAGCAUCUAAACGUGGAAAUUAACAUUAGCUGUGGAAAACAAAGAUCUAAUGCUAAACUCUUGAUACAACAAGGCUGGUUUUCUAUAUAACAUUUUGAUUUAUUGAUUAUAUAGUGAAUUAAAUCCAAAUCAUUUCUUUGGCUAUAAUAUUUUCUUUAAUCUAAGAAAGUCACAUAAAUUAUUUUUUUUCGUUUUCCAAGAAUUACUUAAAUUAAACUAUAGUUUCUCUGCCCUCCUUUUGCUGCUCCUUUACUAAUUUCAUUUCCAUUUUGUUGGAUAUUUCAGUUAUCUUACGUGGGCUACCUUGAAAGACUCUUCAAAUGGAGGAUGUAAAAACUUCUGAAGCAAUAGCUCCUCUAGGACCCUCUUCAUCUUCUGAGGAUAAUGCUCAUGCUUCUACCGAACCUCCAAUGAACCCAAUUAAUGGUAAACUCGGACCUGACUCCCAGUCAUCAGUGGUCGAAAAUUCGAAAUCAUCAUCUGCAAAAGAUGCUUCUGGUGAUUCACUACAAACUCUUCUGACGGAUAAUUCUACUUCCACUUUGGCACUUCCUCAUGAGAUCAAUCAUCAUAAUAUUGCGUUGGAAGGUUCUAAGACUGAGCAAGACACACUUGAUGGUCAGAGAUAUCGAGAUACUGAUUCUGUUGUCAGUGUUGAUGCUCGUCCUAACGAAGUACUUAUAGCCUCCACUUCCUCUCCUAAGGGAAGAGAUAAUGAAACUAAUCAACAUGUAUUGCCAUGCUAUGAAGUUACCCUGCCUGUUUUGAAGGUUAACAAAAUUGCUGUUGGAUCACCAAGAGCUAUGGGAUCAACUAGAGCUGUGGGAUCACCAAGAGCUGUGGGAUCACCAGGAGCUGUGAUAAAUAAUAAAGGUGUGUUGAUGGGAGAUUCUGACAGUGGAGGCACAAAAGGUAAUUGUCAAGCACCAAGAGUAGCUGAAUCACCCAGAGCUGCCGGAUUUCCAGGAGCUGCCACAGGGGGAUCUGUGACAAAACAUCCUGGGUCAGUGAUAGAGGAUUCUAAAGCCAAUUUCAUGCUUGAUACUUCUGAAUCUAUGGGAGAUGUUUCAUCACCGAAAGCUCUUACAGGCCAUAAAAUUACAGGGACCACAGAUUCUAAAACUGAAGGCACACAAUCUCAUCUUGCUGGUUCUAUUAGUUCAACCCGAGUUCGUACAGAUGACUUGAAUGUACCUUCUACUUCAUCUCCGAAAGUAAGAAAUUCCAACAAUGAUCACCAAGCACAGAUAUCCAAUGACCUUACUGAACCCCAUUUGAGGGUUGCUGGGGCGACUGUUGGAUCACCCAGAAGUUUUGGAUCACCAAGAGUCAUUUCACCGAGGGCCAUGUCACCAAGGGCAAUGUCGCCGAGGGCCCUUGGAUCCCCUAGAGCUGUUGGAUCACCAAUAGCUGUUAGAUCUCCAAAAGUUGUUGACUUAAACAGAGGCCUUAUUGAUACAGCAGCACCUUUUGAAUCUGUUAAAGAAGCAGUUUCAAAAUUUGGAGGAAUCACUGAUUGGAAAGCCCAUAGGCUCCAAACUGUAGAGGUAUGUUUUUCUUGGAUUUCAAUGUAAGAUGCUGCUUCGUAUCAAUUAAGUAUAGCACCUUCUAAUCAGCUUAUGGAGGUAUUUUCGUAAAGGGAUGUAAAAGGAAAUCCUUUCUCAAAUUUGUUACUUUUUAUAUGAUGAGUAUGUUUGGUCGAUUCAUAUAUAUUUCUAAUAGUAUGUUCUUGGAGUCUCAACUUGGUUGCUAUUUCUCCAAAACUAAAAUUUUGAGCAUAUUUAGUGAAUUAUUGUAGGUCUAAUUGUAUUUUAUUGGAUAUAGUGUAUCCUGGAUAUGUAGUAUAGUUAGGUUUAUUAUUUUGGUUCCCUUAUCAUCCUAUUUGAGUUUACUCUUUAAUUUACCACAAUUUUAAUAUUUGAAUUAACGUAGUGACACCUUUAACUCAUUGGAGGAAGAUUGCCAAAUCUACUUCUCAAAAUAAAAAUUGAAAAUUCUCCUCCAAAGGAAGUAAAGUGGUCCAAACAUUAAAGUGAUGAUGCAAUCAUAUAUCAACUAUUUAAGUAAUUAGUUUAGAAUAAAUUAAAAAGUUGUGCGGAAUUUAUUUUUUAAUCCAUAUUUAUUUUGACUAAGAUGAGAGGAGUCCUAACUAAAAUGAUUAAGUUUGAGUUCAUAUGAAAUUGUAUAUAGAACUUUUUGAGAUAAGAAAUUGUAUAUAGAAUUAAAAUAAUACAUUUUAAAUUUGAUGAAAUCUAUAGUACAUUGUCUUGAUUUCAUAUGGAAUUCCCUGUGAACUCAAUUGUUUGUCAUCCUAAAGAUUUUACAUCGUCUCCUUGUUGAUUUAAGUGUAGAUUUACAAAUAAAUUUCUUGACAUUUUUAAAUUUGUUCCAUACAUAGUGUUAGCGAACGAACAAGGUAAAAAUUAGGAGGAGAAUAAACUAAACUGUGGAUUUGUGAAUGUUUCUUUUGUAAUGGAAAGUUAUUGCUGUGAGAGAAAGUUUGUUAUGGAGAAUUGUGGCAUAUUGUGAUUGUACAGAUGAUUGUGGCGACAGAGUAGUGGUCUUGAAAUGCAAGACUUAUCUAGAUGUAAGGUAUUCUGUAGGAUCCUUUACAAUUCAGCCCUAAAAACAUUUGCUUCCAAAGCACUUGCAUGACGAUGUGCACUAUUUUCUAUAGGCCUAUCUGACUCAAAGUUUAAUGGAUUUAGUUGCCUUGGCAUUUGAUGUUCUGUGGUUGUUUAAUGGACAGUUUUCAAAGUUGCAUCUACAAAUCUCAUUGGGUCAUGAUUUGAUUAUUGUAAUGCCUGGAUAAAAGCAGCAUGGGUCCGCCAAUUUUUUCAUCCUUCCCUGGCCUUGAAAAGGUCAAUUUUAUGUUGUUGACUAGAGCUCUUAUAUCAAAUUCUAAAAUCACACAUUUCUUACGUGAAAUUGGAAAAUCAUGAUUAUGGUCCCUUGUUGUGUUGGUCACUGAAUGUGGUUACUGGCUACUGUACUGCUGUGCCUUGAUGCAGAUAUAAUGAAGGCGUCUUUCUAAGCAUGCAAGUAUUACGAUUUAACAAAUACUUGGUACGAUUAGUAGAAAGAGAAAGAGACAAAGGUCCUAACUCUUAGUGUGAAAGUUUCAUCUUUUUCCUAUCGCUGCUUUGCUUCUUGAAUUGAUAUGCAAAUAGUACAAUGGCUUCCCAACUUUCUCCCUAAUUGCAUUUGAUUGAGCACUAUCCCUGCUUAAGAGAUUUUAGCAUCCUCAUGUUCAAUAAAAGUGACAUGAAUUUCUUUCUGCCGUAUAGAGACGUAAACUUGUAGAACAAGAACUUGAUAAAGUACAGGAGGAGAUGCCCGAGUAUAAGAAACGGUCUGAGGUUGCUGAAGAGGCAAAAAUGCAAGUACUCAAGGAACUAGACAGCACAAAGAGACUCAUAGAGGAUCUAAAGCUAAACCUGGAGAGGGCACAGACAGAAGAGCAUCAAGCAAAACAGGAUUCUGAGCUUGCCAAGCUUAGGGUGGAAGAGAUGGAACAAGGGAUUGCUGAUGAGGCUAGUGUUGCAGCCAAGGCACAGCUUGAGGUUGCAAAAGCCAGACAUGCAGCUGCAGUUUCAGAGCUGCAGUCUGUCAAGGAUGAGCUGGAAACACUACGCAGAGACUUUGAUUCUUUGGUGGCUGAGAGAGAUAUGGCUAUGAAGAAAGCUGAGGAGGCUAUGUCUGCGUCCAAGGAUGUUGAGAGAACAGUGGAGGAACUGACAAUAGAGCUUAUUGCUACAAAGGAAUCCUUAGAAUCUGCACACUCUGCACAUCUAGAAGCAGAAGAACAAAGAAUAGGGGCAGCCUUGGCAAGAGACCAAGAUUCUCACCAUUGGGAGAAGGAACUGAAGCAUGCAGAAGAGGAGUUGCAGAGGCUAAACCAGCAAAUUCUUUCUGCCAAGGAUCUCAAAUCAAAGCUAGACACUGCUUCAGCCUUGCUUCUUGAUUUGAAGGGUGAAUUAGCAGCUUAUAUGGAAUCUAAACUGAAGGAGGAAGCUGAUGAAGACUCAAAUACUGAAUUAGAUGCAGCAGAGAAGAAAACUCAUACUGAUAUACAGACAGCAGUUGCUUCAGCAAAGAAGGAGCUUGAAGAAGUGAAGCACAAUAUUGAGAAAGCAACGGCUGAAGUGAAUUGCUUGAAGGUGGCUGCUACAUCAUUAAAAUCAGAGCUUGAAGAGGAAAAGUCAGCACUUGCCACCAUCAAACAAAGAGAAGGAAUGGCAGCAAUUGCAGUUGCUUCUCUUGAAGCUGAAUUGGAUCAGACAAGGUCAGAAAUUGCUGUUGUUCAAAUGAAGGAAAAAGAAGCUAGGGAAAAGAUGGUAGAGCUCCCCAAGCAACUACAAAGGGCAGCAGAAGACGCUGACCAGGCAAAGUCACUUGCUAAGUCAGCACAUGAAGAGCUGCACAAGGCAAAAGAAGAAGCAGAGCAAGCAAAGGCUGCAUUGAGUACCAUGCGAAGUAGAUUGUUUGCUGCUCAGAAGGAAACAGAGGCUGCCAAAGCUUCAGAAAAUUUGGCCUUAGCAGCUAUUAAGGCAUUGCAAGAGAGUGCGUCUGCUCAAAGCAGCAAUGAUGUCAAUUCAAAUUCAAGUGUAACACUUUCUUUAGAAGAGUACUAUGAGCUUAGCAAGCGUGCUCAUGACGCUGAGGAGCAGGCCAACAUGAGGGUGGCUGUUGCCAUUUCUCAAAUUGAGGUAGCUAAGGAGUCUGAGUCAAGAAGCUUGCAAAAGUUGGAAGAAGUGAAUCGGGAGAUGCUUGCUAGAAAGGAAGCAUUAAAAAUUGCAAUGGAAAAGGCUGAGAAGGCCAAGGAAGGAAAGUUGGGUGUUGAACAAGAGUUGAGAAAGUGGAGGGCUGAGCAUGAGCAACGCCGAAAGGUUGGUGAGUCAGGUCAUGGAGGGAACCCCUCAAAAAGCCCAAGAGCAAGUUUUGAGGUGAAGAAAGAAUCAAAGAACUUUGACCGGACACCAUCUGCUGUUGCCCAGCAGAUGACAAGCCCAAAGGCAUAUGGGCAUGGAAGUAACCCUGAAAUUAAUCCCCUCCCUGAAGCAAAGAUUGGAAAGAAAAAGAAGAAGCCUUUGUUCCCUAGGAUUUUUAUGUUUUUGUCCAGGAGGAAGUCACAUUCGUCCAAGUGAUGUAGCUUUUGCUCAAACCACAUAUAUAUGGUCUUUACUGUUAUGAUUUUAUAUCUCUCAUUGGGCUGGGUAUCGUUUAAUAGCCCUUAGUAUGUAAAUGGUGGUUACAUUUUUGUCAUGUAUGAUAUAGUUACCAGAACAUAUUUUUACUCAGUGAAAAAGGAUGAUGUUGUUGGAUAUUGGUGGCUGUGGAGGAGAGACAAGUUUGUUGGUAGUGUGUGGCUGACGAAGCCAUAAGAUGGUUUUAUCAUGUAUGUAAUUGUGACAGUUUGAACCUACUCAUGUAAAAAAUUUGAGUUUGGUCCAAUGAAAUAACUCUUUUUUGCCUGGUUUUUUGUUUAGUUGAAAUGCAAAAUUAUAGUGAUCUGUUUCGGAUGGCAUGAUGUGUGGAUGAAGUAGAAAAGUUUUCCUCAAUAUUGUGAAAAUGCUAUUUUAUAAACUAUGAAAAAAAUUACAGUAUAGGUUUUGAUUGACUUUACUUGCAGCAUCUUGCCAAGGAGCUUAAAUCUCUCCCCAAUCUGAGAAAGCUUAUUACCAAAUUCGGAAAAUACUAUUUCACCAAACAACUCAAGAAUGCUGUCAUUGCAGACAUUGAAAUGAAUUGGAAUAAACACUAAAGUGAGAGAUUGAAGAAUUAAACUUUCUUGUGUACAAAAUCUUGGAUGAUGAAUCUGAAAAUAAAAGUUUGCAGAACUUGUUUGUUUCUUACAAGCCAAAUGAUAUUGCAAAGAUGCCAUUUUACGGAAUACAUUGAAGAAGCACACUAGUGGGUGAGGACCUGAAUGAUAGUGUUGUGCCAUGGAUUUGAGAGGUGCUGCACAAGGUUGUCAAUAGGUCCUGCAUGAGUCACAUAAGCUUGGACAAAAAUACCAAGCAUUGCAAUCAUUGCAAGUCUUCCUGCAUAAAGACUUUGAGCUUAAAGACAGAUAGGAUAACUAUAAUAAUGCAGCAGCAAGUGAACAAGCCUCACCAUUCUUGAUUUCUUUCAGUUUCCAAUCAUGGGCAUUUCUGAUGUCUUUGGCAAGACCAAGUGGAUUUAGCAGAGGACCUCCAGGGUAGCUGAAUAAACAGAGUGCAGUUAAACUCCAUAUUUUCUCAAGGCGUAUAUGUGUUGGAUCAAUUUGGGUAAAAAAAUCCUGUGUUCUUAUAUCAAGAAUGGUAGAAUCUUCAAGCUGGUAGGAUGAGCAAGUGAGGAAGAAAAAAAUACCCAGGUUCAAGUCCUUCUAAAGCUGCUUCCAAUCCAAAGAAGGAUCCCUCUUUGGCUUGAGAUCCAGGACUAAUGAAAUCCAUAUACCUUUUGGUUUCCACGAAUCUGUCCAGAAUUCCAAUUCAGAAUUUACAACGAACAAGACGCAGAGGAAGAAUUAACUAAGUAAAUUUACCCCAUCAACAAUAGCUGGACGACAAUCAAAGUCGUUGUGCUGGCAAAUUCAAAUUUCACGGCACCUGCUUCAUACCAUACUGGUAUGUUGCUGAUUCCUGUCACACGAAGUAUCUGCAAACAAACAGUCACUACUCCCCAGAAAAAGACAUAUUCAUUUAAAGAUGCAAAUGGCACUUACAUCAGUGAACAAAAUUCCAGCAACUCCAACCAUGGCAAAGCGAGCAUGAACUAGCUCUGCCUGCACAUACCACUUCAAGCUUUCCGGAUCUUCCCCAAGCCCAAGUGGGUCAAACCCAUAAUCUCCAGCCAAACUUCAACCAUUCAAAAAAAAAAAAAAACAACCUCAAACAAUAAAUCGAUUACGCAAAUCAACUCCAACCUCAACAUAGACAAAUGGGGCUCACGUUCCAUCGAGAUAGGGAGGAGGGUCGAGCCCAGGGAGCCACGUGGGUCGCUGCUGAGCUUCAACUACCACUGCGCACGUCCUUGGCUUAGUAGACCAAGAUGUGCUUGUGACACCAAAUGGCUCUCUGUGUAUGUUGUUGCAGAAAAAAGAUGAUGAAGAAGACGAGCGUGGCUGGACAAAGAAGCUUACUCCUGCAACCGCCAUCUUCUUUCGUCUCUAACCACUUACACAAUUGUCAUUCAAUGAAGAAACUUGGGUCCACUUUUCUAACGCUUAGCGCAACCCAUUACAGAUAGGGUGGCUGAGCCUGAGGUAGACAACUCAAGUAAAUCUUAUUUAACAAGAAUGUAAAAUAGUAAAAGGAAUUUAUCUUGCACUAAGAGAGUCUCUACAUAAAUUCUUUUCAUACAGAGAAGAGAAAGCAAUAUCUGCUUUCAGUAAUAACUAAACAACCAAAUUGAAAAGCUUGAGUUGGGAAUCACCCAAAGUACUUGACACAACAACAGAUUUAUCUGCAGCACGACUACAAACCUAAUGAAACAGAGAUCUAAAAACACAGUGGACAAGUUCUUCAAAAAUCUAAAAAUAAAGUGGUCAUGACUAGGGUGACAUCCCAGCAUGUCAUCGCCUGCUAGACAUGCUGAAGGAGCUGACUUUCAAUGGCGUUGCAAUCACCAGUGGGGCAUCGGGAGAAUCAGUGACUGCAAAUUUAUCGUGCAUGAAACGACUAUCGACAAUUGAGUCAUCCUUUAGAACUAUCUUGUAACAGUAGCAGCUCUUCAGACCUUCUUGAUUACGGUAGCAUUCAUGAGACCCAUUCUUGACCUGUUGAAAGUUCCAUAUGACACUGAACUUGCCCACUGUUGCAACCAAAUGGCGCUCCUGCUUCCCAUUUUCUGUGACCUAAGUUAUUUAAACAUACAACUGUUAACAUCCGAUGACCUAAGUUUCUAACAAAUAAGUACCCUUAUAAAAUAUAAUCCUAGAAUUCCUAAGUAACAACAGAGAAGAACAAAAAUUUAAUAGGAAAAAGGAAAAAGAAAAGCAACAUCAGUUACCACAUAAAGCUUGUCAACGGCACUCAGAAACCAUUGUCCAAAAACAAAGCAAAUUGCGUAAUUUGAAAGGAUGGGCAAAGCACUUAAGCACAAAACAAAAUGGUCAUAGUAGGCAGAAUAUUCGAACAAAUCUCCUAGUUCUAAAUUAAAUGUUCAGAGCAGGAGAUAAAAGCAUAAGAUAUAUGUAUCUGCAUAUGCUUACCCACGAAAACUGAGCACUACGGAACUUGUUAUUAACUCCGGCUAACUGCGAAUCUAAGGGAGACAACUUCAACAAUCGUGGAGCUGCAAUUCUAUUUCCCAUACGGCCAUUAAAGCCAGUCUUCAUCUUACCAUCUUUGUCAGUAAAAAGCGUGCAGAUGAGAAUCAAAUAUGUGUCAGUUGUACCCAAUAUCCAUUUCCCAUCAAAGGUAACAUCCACAUGAGUGAUAGGUGAACCAAGACCAGGAAAAGCUGUCUUUGCCUGUCUCAUUGAAUUGCUAGAGUAGAGUCUGAUCUUCCCAUCGAGAGACCCAACAACUAUUGAGCCAUCACCAGUCGAUGCAAAGCAUUGGAAGUUAGUCCCUCUGGAAAAUUGAUGUCCUUGGGCCCAAUUCAAAACAGGGGUAUCGGCAGUCGCAAGAUUUUGAACCAUGCCUUUCCGAUCACGCAUGUCCCACCUGCAAAGUCUGUUAUCAUCCAGCCCCAAAAACGUUGAUCCAGAUGGGUCCAGUUGGGCUCCUUUGCUAUCAUUUGCAAUAUCCCUCAUGGUGAUAUCCACUCCAUCCUUCUCAAAUCUCCACUCUGUAACAAUUUUACCGGUUUCAAUAUCAAGCUGAUGGAGUCCAGUAGAAUGAGGUUUCUUUACAUCCAUGGGGCUCAUGAGCAGCAUAUUAGUCUCAGCCCUCAUAAGAAGAGCCUUUUUGGGUGUUGAAUGAACCAAACUCGAGCCACUUCUAUAACUCUCCGUAUCAAAAUUCACAUACACACCUUUUCCAUGAAUCCCGUGACUGAAAUUCUUAACAACCUGAAUACCAGAAUUACCCACCAAGAAACUGUUAUCCAAAGCACCCAGCGCCAAGCUUUGUAUGCCAUCAUUCGCUGCCUCUUCAAAUUCCUGUCUCAAAUCCUGACUUGCCCGAACUGGCGUUGAAGCUUCGGGGCUUUUCAGUAAACUAUCGUCAGCAUCUUCCCACAUUGAAUCAUCGGCGAUUUCAGGGUUUGCCCACCCAAUAAAAUCUUUCCCAUAUACCUUAACUUUGUUGACUUCGUUUGAUUCAAACCCAUAUACGUUCUCAAACAAACAAUCAUUAUACUUGGUUACGAAACCUUUAUAAUCCUCAUCAGAAAAAAAUUUCAUAGCCCAAACACCUUGAGCAACAAAAUCAACUCGACGUUGUUCUGGAAAGGUCUUCAAAUACGUCUCUUCCGACACUUUCACUCGAAUCUUAGAACCAACCUUCAGGACCCACCAAGAUUCUCCUUCUCCAGCAUCUUCAUCAUCCUCGUCUUCGUCUUCCUCUUCUUGACCGUCUAGUUUUGAUGUCUUGACGAAAGAGUAAGAUGCAAACUUCUCUGAUGUGAUCCAUUUGGAUUUGGGUGUGUUUGCACCGACGUGAAGGUAAAGCCUCACAGCAUUUUUGACAGAAGGGUUCUGGCUUGACGGGUAUUUGAGCUUCAAAGCUUUGAGUUUGGCCUCUACUUCAUCAAGAGAUGAAGGAGUUUUGGCCCUGCGACCUGAUGAUCUGUCAGGGGUGUCAUCUUUGGAAUCUUGGUAGUCUUCCUCCUCUUCUUCACCUUCCUGUUCUUCGUCUUCUGCAUCCGAGUCUGAGAUAUCAAGAUCUUCGCGACUGUGAGCGCCACCCAUUAUUGGGAUGUGUUUAGAAUCAAUUAAAGAUCAGAAUUGAGAGAAGGAAUUGUUUGCUUUUGAGAGAUCGAUGAGACAAAUAAUUUUAAAAAAAAACGGAGAUUGAAAAGUGAAGAGCGCCAAGUUCAAAUUUUGAAAUUGGAGCCUUCAAGCAUGGUUUAUACAAUAAUUUAGGGUUUUGAAUGAAUGAUGUUAGCCAAUCGAAGCGUUGAGGCUGAGGGGGUCACCGGCUACUCCCGGUGUCCGGGGAUCCUACAUUUGUCCAAUCGGGUUAUUCUGUCCAGAUCUGGACCCUGUAUGUACCCGGACUCUAUAUAUAUUUUAAAUUGAUUAUAAUGUUUAAGCAACAAAAAAUGAUUAUGGUUCGCAAUUUAACUCUUAACUUAUAACUAUUUAAAUUAUAAAAUUAAAUUUUAUGACAUAUUAUAAAUAUAGGCCAACAAGAAGAAUAAAUAGUAAAUUGUAUUAUUCAAUUUAAUUGAUGUAAUUCACUUAAUUUUAACUAAAAUAUAUUUAAUAAGAUAACUUAGGUUAUGUUUGGUACAUAAAAAUAUUUUUAAACUUUUAUUUUUUAAAAUUUUUUUAUCUUUAUUUAUGAAAGUAUUUGAAACUUGCAUAUUUAUAGAUUUAAAAAAUAAAAAAAAUUAAUUAUAAUUUUCUACAAGCACUUACACAAUUUUUUAAAAUUAAGAAAUCUUCACCAUCAUUAUUUUUAAUAUUAAUUAAAUUAUAAACUUUUGUAGAUGAACACAUAUAUGUUUAAAAAAUAUAAACUAGUAAGUAAUUUCAUAUACUAUGUGGCAUCAUAAAACGAACAAAAAAGAUUCAAGGUUGUCCCUUUUUUUUUUUUUUUUCUUUUUCGAAGUAAAACCAACGAUCGUUUUGCCACCCGCUAACAAUUUAGUGUAAAUCACAUAAUUACAUGUAGGAAGGUAGUUUGCUGUGUGCAAUCUGUAGACAAGGUUGGUGUAUGUAUAAAUAAGUCAUUAUGAGAAUAAAUGGUCAAAAGAAUUAGCUUUAAGAUAAACUUCCUUGAAAUGUAAGUGACUAACUCCUGAAAAGCCAUCGCCUCCCAUGUCCUUCAUCAUCUCUCGCACUCUCUCUACAUCAUCCCACAUUCCUUUAACAGCAUACAGAUUUGACAUCAAUAUAUAAAGGCCACCAUUUUUGUUAUCCAUUAAAUAUAAUUUCUUAGCUAAACAUUCCCCGAGCUUGACCUCUCUGUGAAUGCAACAAGCACUAAGCAAUGCUCCCCAAACUGCUGAAUCAGGAUCCAUCUUCAUAUUCUUGAUAAACAGAAGUGCCUCCUCAAAUAAGCCUGCACGACCGAGAAGACCAACCAUGCACGUGCAGUGUUGCAAAUCUGGGACUAUACCAAAUUCUUCUGUCAUCAUUUUGAAGUACUUUCUUCCCUCAUGAACAAGACCCGCAUGAGUACAAGCAGCCAGAAGUCCUAAGAAAGUGAUAUCAUCAGGUUUUAAUGCUUGUUCUUGCAUUUUAGAGUAACAAGCCAGAGCUCUGUGCUCAAAUCCACACAAACUGUAGCCUGAUAUCAUUGCAUUCCAGGUUGCCAAACAUGGAAAUUUUAUGCACUCGAACACCCUUUCUGCACCCUCUAUGCUCCCACACUUGGCAUACAUGUUGAUAAGAGCAGUACCAACAAAAUCUUCCACUUGUAGAUUAUUUCGAAGAAGAUAACCAUGAAGUUCCUCUCCAACCUGCAAGUCUCCAAGUUGCGAACACCCUGUUAACAAACUGGCAAUAGUAACCCCAUCUGGACCAUGUCCACAGAGAUUCAUUUGACGGAACACCUCCAUGGCAUCCCUCGCUUUUCCAGCCUGCACCCAGCCAGAUAUCAAUGAGUUCCAACUAGUUAGAGGCUUCUCAUGCAUGUCAGAGAACAAACAGACCAUAGCUUCAAUGUUGUUGAACUUGCAAUACAUAGUUAUCAGUCCAUUUGCAACCAAAUAGUGAGUGCAUAGCCCACUUUUAAUUGCAUAACCAUGGAAAGCAGCCCCAAUAUCCAUGUAACUGAGGUCUGUAAAGCCAUGGAGAAUGCUAACCAUAGCAACAGCAUCCACUUUCAUUUGCAACUGUUGCAUUCGUGCGAAACAUGCCAUGGCCGACUCUGUAUCUCCUUUUUCAACAUAGCUUGAAAUAAUUGCAGUCAAUGAGACCAAAUUCUCCUUGGGCGCUGACCAGUAAAGCCAUUCUGCUGAGUUUGUCUUUCCAAAUCUUGCAUAUGCACAAAUUAAAGAAGUAAGAACAGAAGCAUUAUUAAUGAGGCCAAUUUUAAUAGCAAAACAAUGAAUAGUCUCAGGGUUAGGAUUAGCCAACAGAAGGCUUACAAGACUGACUGAAUUUACUUCCACACCCUCCUCCAGCAUGUAGUUGAAAACAAGCAUAGCCUCAUCAAAAUAACAGUUUUGUCCAUAAGCACCAAUCAUGGUAUUCCAAGAAACUACAUCUUUGGCAAACAUUUCCUCAAACAAUAACUCCGCUGCUUCCAAAUCCAUACACUUAGCGUACAUAGAGGUGAAAGCAUUCUUCACUUGAGAAUCAAAGUGGAGGCCAGUUUUAAUUCCAAAUCCAUGAACGGAUUUCCCUUGAAACACAAUCUCCCGCUGCGCACAAGAAGGAAUCAAGCCAACCAACGUCGUCUCGCGAGGAGAAAAACCCUCUCUGAGCAUUUGAACAAAACUCUCCAGUGCAUCAAAAUCAUAUCCAUUACGUGAAUACCCGCAAAUUAGGGCAUUCCAUGCGACAACAUCUCUCUCAGGCAUAUCAUCGAACAACAGUCGUGCAACUUUAACGCAAUUCAAUUUCGUAUACAAGUCAAGGGUAGCUGUAGUUAUAUAAACAAACUGAUCAACACCCGAUUUUACCAUGUGCGUUCGAAUUUGAUCGGCUUCUAGCGUUGGACUAAUUGAAUCAUAAACAGAGAAUAGUGAAGGAGAUGAAGUAGAGGCUUUGAGGAAUAAAGAGAAAGUGAAGUCAUUUGGUUUCAAAUUGAACUGUAACAGUUGGCGGAAAAUAAUCAACGGGGAUUCUGGGUUUUUGCCUUCAAUGCAGGAUUUGAGUAGAGAGUGGAAAAAAGAAAGAGAACUGGAAUUGAUCAGAUUCAUAAGAAUAGAAUCAAAAUAUCCUCUGUUAAGACAAGUCCAAACGGAAAAAAGACAGUCCAAGUCUUCCGCCCAGUUUCAGGAAGUGUUUUAAGUGAAAACUACUUUGAUAUAUAUAUAUACACACACAUAUAUGUUUAUAUAUAUAUAUAUAUAUAUAUAUAGUGGCGAAAGUAGAAAAUUGAGCUUUUCUUCUUUUUCUGAAGAAAGUAGAAAAUUGAGUUAGAGGAGAAAAAUUUGUCAUUCAAAAUAAAUUUGGGUCUGACAUGAUAAAAUAUUAUAUUAUUUCCCGUUUAUUUUUUUUAUUUUUGGUUGAAUGGUAAAUAUUGUUACAAUUUUGUGUGUUUUUAUUAGAUGUUGUUUUAUAAUUAGUAUAUAUGUAUUAAUUAAUUAAUUAAUGUACGAAUUUUUAUUUAAAAAACAUUUAUUUACGUUUUCAUAAAACUUUUUUAUUAAAAAUUAGAGAAAUAAGAUAUUGAAAAAUACUUUUGUUUUAUUUAACGUAAUUCUUUAGUAACUAAAAAAUUAAAGAGAAAAGAAUAAGGGAAUUAGAUAAAAGUUUAAUUUUAUUUGAUAUUAUAUAUUUUUAAUUUCAAAAAAAGAAUGAGAUUAUUCAGUGAUUUUUGAAGAAAAUGAAAAAUUAUUUAUUAAAUUUUAUUACUUUUACAUAAACUCAUGUUUUGGAGGAAUCUCCCCUCCAUAUUACUAAAUUAUUAUUAUUAUUAUUAUUAUUAUAUUGUUAUUAUUACUAUAAGGGCAUUCUUGUCAUUUCAUAUCUUCUCCCAUACAGCAUAGUCCUUUCCGGCGCCGUUUGGAACCAGCUUGAAAUUCGGAGGAAUAAGAUUUCCAAGACCCCCAUUUGGCCCAAUUUUCAUUAUGAUUUUCUCAUCGAUCUCCGCCACGUACAGAUCAGAUUGUGCCGCUAGAAUCUUAACCCUGCUUCUUUCAUUGAUCCCGUGCUUCUUCCUAAUCGCCAAAAUGUUGGUAAUCGGCUCCUUUAAGCCCCACUCAAAGUAAUGAUCAUAAAACUGCAAAAACCAGAACCAGUUUAUUUUUUCCUUGCGAAUUUCAGACCUACCUAAAUACUUUCCGAAUCGGCCGUGGAAUAUGAGUAAAUUAAAGGGUAGAGAACAGGAAGAACUUACAAUGGUGGGAGUGCCAGGGUGGGUGAGGAUAUAAACAUAACCCAGCAUCACUUUAUCACUUGGGAAUUUGCAAAAAUCUUGAGACCAAGUGUCGUGAUUGUCGAUGAACGUCACCGCUUUCUCCGGCAAAACUCCGAGCAAUCCCGGCGGUUUUCCGUCGGUGUUAUUCAACCGGAACAACUCUCCCGUCACCGCAACCUGAAGAGAUUCCUUCAAAGGAAAAUCAAAUGCAGCCACCACUCCGCCGGCAUCCUGAAUCCACUUCCGCAGCUCAUCGCGCUUUCUGUUAUCUCCCGGAGGGAGCUUUUCGUUACAGGGAGGAUGCCAAUACUCUGCAACUGCCAAAUCGGGUUUUGUCCGAUCCACGUAAAUUUUGGUAAUGCUUGGCGCGAACCCUACUGCGUAAUCAAUUCGCCAUCCGCCAUUAAAACCGACUUCUGUUUUCAACCAAUUGAGCCAAUCCGAUAGCUCGUUUUGCACUCUGGGAUUGGUAUGGUCAAUGUCAAUGGCGAAAGGGAAGUCAUCGCCGGUGUCUGGAUUGCCGGUGCCGUGAGGGAAGUUCUUGUCGGUGCUACAGACCAUGGCGGGUCCCCAGUCAAGACGAUCAUCUGGUGUCCCUCCUUCGAAGAAUAUAUCGGUCUCUGUCUGGCGCUCUGGGCUUCUGUGGUUAAUUACAAUGUCAGCCAUGCAUUUUAUCCCGCUUUGAUGAUAAGCUGCAAUGAGUGAGCUGAGUUGAUCCCGAGUUCCGUAGUUUGAGUUGAGAUCAUACAGCUUUGCUGGUUUGUAACCUUGGGGUGCAUCGGCGCCGGAAUUAGAAGGAGGCGGCAGCCAGACAUGAGUAAUCCCGGCAUUAGCAAUAUCAGUAGCAGAGUUCUUCAAGAAAUUGUAUAAUUCUCCUCGUUUUUCCGAUGAGGCCCAAGUGAAACCCUGUUACAUUACACAGCGAAGGAGUCUAACUUCGUAAUAUGGCAAUACCAUGACUAGAAAGAAACCUAGAGAAAACGAAGAAGAAGAUGGAGAGAUACCUGAAACAGAACUGCUGGAGAUACGAAAGCAGGGAAGAUAGAGGAUAAGAGGAAGAGGAAGCAAAGUGAAGUGAUGACUGAACUCAUCUUGUUUUAUUUUGUGUUUGAGUAGAUGCAUAUGAUGGUAUAUUUAUAGGCACAUGAUGGAUCCCAUGUUGAUGACGCUGUAAUAUCUGUUCGUAUGCCACCUUUGGGUAAUUUUCCAUUGACUUUGGAAAUAAUUUUUGGUUAUAUAUAAUACAAUUCAAAAACAAAUUAAUCUUGCCCACAUUGAAAUUUUACAUACAUUAAAAAUAAGAACCAACAAAAAAGAAAAAAAAGAUUUGGAUGAGGUUACUCUUGUUAUAUUUUUGUUCUUAAAUCCUAGUUUGUUUUAUAUAAAAUAAUUAUAGUAAUUUACAUAUUCGAUGCAUAACGAUAUCAAAAUAAUCAUAAUUCAUAUUAUGUUUUUAGUUAUGUUUUACUUAUUUAAUAAAAUAAUUAAUGUUUAUAAAUAUAUUUAUUUCUUUUAUAUCGACUCAAAUUUAUAAUACUAUCAGAGUGAAACAUAAGAUUUAAAAAAGAAUAGAUGUUAAACUUUAUUAGUGACAAAUAAAUUUUUUGCAUGUGAAAAAUCUCAAUAUAAUUUUAAAAAUUAAGAAUUAAUCGCAAAAAUUUUAGACGAUCUAAAAAAUACGAAAUUAUGAUUAACUUUAUAAAUUGUCUUGGGUACUGAGCAUUUACUUAUAAGAAUUAAAUUUCUCGCAAUAACUAGCUGCAACAACUUCAUAACUAGGAAUUUGGUAGAUUAUUUCUUACGUAUAGAAUCAUUCAUAUUUUAAAUUAUAUAUAAUAAAUUUUCUAAUCUCGUAUGUUAAUGAACAAAUUACAAAAACAUCUACUAUGAAUUUAUAUAAUUAAAUUAGAAUUAUGAUUUUAUUUUAUUUUUAUAAAAUUUUAUAUUUUGGAUCUUGUAUGUUUAGAUAAAUAUAUAUUUAUCUAAAAUAUAUACAAUAAGAUGAGAUCGGUUCAAUCUUUUUAGUAACAGAUUAAAUAGACUUUAAUUAUAAUUUAACUAAUAUAUAAUAAUACGAACAGUACUUUAUUGAAAUCAUAUUAACAUAGAAAUCUAGAAACAAAAUAAUAAUAAUAAUAACUAAUACAUGGAUCCUUAACCUUCUGUCGUUCUUCGUGAACGAUUAAUACACGUAUCCUUAAAGUGUUUAAUCCAUUUUAACUUGCGUUUGAUAGUCAAAGUUAUGUUUCUAAAGUCAGUAUAAUCUUCCUUGACAAAACUUGGUUUUAAUUCAACGUAUUCUGGUUGUAAUCUUCAUUUAGAAAAACCAACUCUUUGACUAGAGACUGAUUCGCAGAUUCAUGAUUGUAUAAUACUGUAAAAAUAGAAAAAGGACCCAAAUAUAUAUAUAUAUACAUAUAUGUGUGUGUGUAUAAAGGGGCAAGCUUAAUUAUUUUGAAUUUUCACCAACUUAAUUCGGCAAUUCCUUUCUUGACAAGUUCAAUUUCCAAACUCCAGGUCACAAAGUUUGACUCAAGUGUAUUACACAAAUACAAAUUAGAUUUAUCUUCGUGUCAGCUUAAUUUACAGUAUAAAAAUAAUAUUUAAAUAAAUAUAUAUAUAUAUAUAUAUAAGAAUUAAAUUUAUAAUCUCUCAUAAAUAAAUUAUUUAAUUAACCAAUCGGUAAUCACUUUCUAAUCAUUUUUGAUAAAUUUAUUAUAAAUUAAAACUAAAUACAAUCACGUUAUGCUAUUCGUUACUAAAAUGUGUAUUCACAUAUACUAUGGUUAAACGAAUUAACAGAAUUUUAUUUUUUAUUUAAAUAAGAUGCAAUAAAAAUAAUUUUCUAUUUCUAUUCCGUGUAAUAAUAUUGAUUAAACUAUUUACGGAAUUAAUUAAUUAAUUUCAUUUAAAUUAAAUGUAAUAUAUGAGAUAUAUUGUUAAUGUCACAGUAGUUCGNNNNNNNNNNNNNNNNNNNNNNNNNNNNNNNNNNNNNNNNNNNNNNNNNNNNNNNNNNNNNNNNNNNNNNNNNNNNNNNNNNNNNNNNNNNNNNNNNNNNNNNNNNNNNNNNNNNNNNNNNNNNNNNNNNNNNNNNNNNNNNNNNNNNNNNUUAAUGCACAUCUCUUGUGAUAUGAAAUUUAUUUGUUUUUAAAUAAUUAAAGGAUAUAAAUUAAUUUACAAAUUUAAAAUAGAAACUAACAGGGUUUAGUUCGCCAUCCUCUAUUGAUCUUGAACUUGUUUCUCAUCUCCCUCUCACUUGAAUGAAGAUGAAUUGAGGUGAGUUUCACGUGCUAAGUAAGAAAAAAAAAAUCUAUAAUGUAGGAUUUACGUACAUACAUUCACGCAAUAUAUAAAAUAUAAUAAUUUUUAUCAUCAAAAAAAUGUCAAAUAAGCAUCACAACCAAAAUACAUAAUAAAACAAAUCAUCGCACAAAAUAUAUUUUAAUCUUCACUUUUUAAACCUAAUUCUUGUUAUCUUUUCAAAUUACACUCAUGCAUUCAUAGAUUCUUCAAACAAAAACGGAUUUACUCACACACACAUAUCACUCAACUCGAAUUUAUAAUUUUAUAUUAUUUAGCCUUUUAAAGCUUAAUUAGAUUACCAUCGCGCGAUACCCGUUAUAUCAUUAUCGAAUAUAGGAUCCCUCCAUCGCAUGUAUAACACAAAAAAAAAAAAAUCUCAUAUUGGCCACAGAAGUUACGUUUGCUAGGUGACCUACGCUCAUAAACACAUAUCCACGUAUAGACUAAGUUUCAAACUCUAUCUAUGUGCAGGUUCACCAUACCAGCUGAACUUCAGCCAUACACGCACCUUUCCCUCCUCGAUUUACGACUAACAAAUGACGUGUUUUAUUUACUCUUUACAGUUUUCUUAUGAUUGCCUUCCUAGUGGCUUAUUAAGUCUAUUUCUCUAGCUAACUUACACUUAUCAAUUUCUUUGGUGUUUGUUUUCCAGAUGUAUUUAACUUAUUUAGUUUUUUAUUUAAAAAUCUAAAAUUUAUAUUAAUUUAAGGUAUUAACUUUCCAUGCACAAUUAAAUACAAACAUACAUAUAAUAUACGAUAUUAUCAUGCACAUCAGAACUAUACAUGUCAAAAAACUUUCUGAAUCAUCAUAUAUCAGAUCACACAGCAAGCACAAGAUACUCAAAUUUUUCGCGCAACUGUACCAGAUCAUACAGUAAGUACAGUGCACCAUACAUCUACAUCAGAUCACACAGCUAGUGCAAUGUAUCCAAAUUUCAUAAGUACAUACACUGGUUAUACAUUUUACAUACAUAACAUAUGUACACACAUUUUAAUACACACAUAUAUUAUAAUACAGAUAUGUACCAUCACUACAUGUCUCACACAGAAUAUAUAUUUAUAUUUACAUACACACAAACAAUUUCUAUCGAUAUAUAUACACACGUUCAUAUUUAAACAUGUAUACACAAUCACACACAACAUACCAGAUAUAUAUAUAUAUAUAUAUUUAUUCAUGCAUUUGUUCUUAUUAACUCUAUUCAAAUUAAUUCAUCGUAUAUUUUUAUCUAUAUACACAUAUACAUGCGUAAUAACGUGUAUAUAUACACUAUAUAAAUAUAUACAAAUACAAAUUAAAUAUACUAAUUAUAUUUAUAUUACAUUACCCAUACAUUUAAAUAUUCAUACAUAAUGCAUAUUAUAUAUACACAUUUAUAUAAAUAUAUAAUUUAUGUAUUUGUACAAAAUACGCAUAAUUUUUACCUAUGAUAUGAUCGGAAAAACUUUAAAAAUUAUUUUUACCUUGAUCUACAGUUAUAUCAGAAAUUCGAAUAUGGUUUGAAUAAUUUUAUUCGUUUAUAAUAAAAAAAUACAUAUAUUAAAUUAUGAAUAAUUUUAAAAAUUAUACCGAAAAAUGAAUUUUACCUUGAAACACGUGAUCUCGAUUGUUAACAUUACCACGCGACAUCAUACGCAUGUCACCGAAAAUGUUAUACAAUGAUAAUCGAAUCAACGCGCGUUGUCGCAUGUGACACACCAACAUUUCGCCGCACUUACAUUUUUCUUCCUUAAUUUAAUUAAUUUUUUUAUUUUUUGCCCUUUUUUUAUUUUCUUUCAUCAUUUUUUUUCUUUUAUUCCUUUUUUUUUUUUCUCUUCUCCUUUUUCCUUCCUUCUUCUUCUUCCUCCUUUCCCGUAGCUUCCUUUUUUUUUUUUUUCUUUCUUCUUCCUUUUUCUUCUUCCUUUGUUUUUUUUUUCCUUUCUUCCUCUCUUCUUCUUCUUCUUUUUCUUUUUUUCUCUCUCUCUCUCUCUCUCUCUCUCUCUCUCUCUCUCUCUCUCUCUCUCUCUCUCUCUCUCUCUCUCCUUCCUGCGACGUCUCCCCUUCUGCCGCGUCUCACCUCCGCGACUGCCACUCACUCCUCCUCCUCACGCGGCCACGGCUCCUUCCCUCACUCCGCUCUCCCGGUCCCGAUCCUCACUCAACUUGGCCUCCUCUCUCACCCGCUCGAACUCAGCUCUCUUCCCCUAGUUCUUGUUUUUUUCUUCUGCUAUUUCAUUAUAAAUCUAUUUUUUUUUUUUUGCGGCUUGGUUUGUUCUCUUUCUUUUUACAUUCUUUUUUUAAAAAUUAAUUAAUAUAUAUUAUAUAUAUAUUUUUUGUACCCAGCUGGUGCUCGAGCUGACUAUUAUUACACACAAUUAUUUGCUAAACAGUUUUCAAUAUAACGAAUUUUUGAUAAAAUUUGAUUUCAUAAUUUUUUUAAGUAAGUAAAUUAAAAAUUUAACCGUAUAUUAUUAAUAUAAGUUUAUUUAUAAAGUACUACACGGAUAUAAUUAUGUAAGGAAGAUAAGAAAUAUAUUAACUAUACUUUAAAAAAAAUAUUCCCACGCCAUCAUACAGAAUAAAAUUGUAGUAAGAGGGAGCUUUAAAAUUAGCUGUUGCACAUCUAUACAAUUCUUAAUACGAAUUACAUGAGAAAAAUAUGUUGGACAUUAAAUUAAUAAAUUUUUUUUCAGAGAAAAUGGAUUGAGAUAGUUUCUCCAAUUGUUCGCCUUUAAAAGAAUAAUUGGGUUUUAUGUUUGUUCAAAAUUAAUACAUAUAUGAAUUUUGUAAAUAAUCAAAGAGCAAUUUGGUGGCAAAAUGACAAAAGAUUGACUAGAUAUAGUGAAGGGUUCUUCUCUAUAUGUAAAGUUGGGAAAAGUUGAGCUAAACCAAAUAUGGGCACACCUUCAUACGGGUUAGAAGUUUCUAUCUCAUGGGGUGUCAUUGCACAUUUUUUUUUUAUAAAAAACUUUAAUCUAAAAAAUAUCUCAAAUUCAUAUGAAUUUGGUAUAUUAAUUGAUGAUAUUAAUAUUCUAAAAUCAAAAUUUUUGGGUUCAGUCAAUUUAUGAAUUUUUAUAAUAAAAAUCCCAUAUGUAUUAUGAGGAUAUUGGCUGAUUAAAAAAGGUUGUGGCCGCCGAUUUAAUGAAUAAAUAAAUAUCUUUUUUUAUGGCUUUAUAUUUAUUUGCUGGGCCAAAGGAAGAUAAAAGGAAGGGAGUGUUCGGGAAGAAUGGUCAAAAAAAACAAAGAGCCGCCACGUAAUCUCAGACCUCAAGCAAACCCAACAGAUAUUUUCCAUUCCCAUACAAAAUAUCUGAACCUCUUCCCCCCCACCACCACCCUGCGUCUUCACGUGGGACCCGCGCGUCCCCAUUCCACGUGUAAAGCGAUUACUCUUUUCUCUCCAACAUCACUCCCUCCCUCCCCCAUUUCCUCUCUCUCCCUCCCAGAGUUUACUCCUCUCUGAGUUCGAUUCUUACUUCCGGGGUUUAUGGUAUGCAAAUCGUUUGGAUUAGUCUUCCAGUGAAAAUAUGCUCUUGCGAGUUCGUUAAUAUCUGAGUUUACCGGGGGACGAGUCGCGCGGAUUUUCUCAGCAGGUGGAUCUCAGACCUCGAGCAUGGUACUGUCUCUACUCGCUAUUGAUUCUACGUUUUACCUUCCGCAUGAUUAUAUACCUAAUCACCGCAAUUUGUUUUUUCCUCUGCACCUUCUUUUUCUCGAGUCUGAAGACUGAAAAACAAGUAUGUCGUGUGAAAUUGACCUGUGAAGCCAUAAACUGCAAACAUUUAUAUGUUUCUUCUGUAAGCUACGAUGGUAGGUUCUCUACUUUAUGGCUAUCAGACUUGAUUUCCAUGGAGGAAUAAUUCUGAAUGAAGAAAAUUUGGGGUUAAUUGGUAUAUUAUCUGAGUUGUUUGCUAUUUGAUUUAUCACUAUAGGCAAAAGAUCUUGUUGCUAGGGUUAUUAGUGACCUCGUAUUAUCAAUGUUAGGUUCUUUGUUUGUUUGUUUGUUUUUUUUUUUCUAAAACUUUUUUUCUGAAUCAAGAACGCAAUGAAUGUAAAUAAAAGUUGUUGGUUGACAAAUUCCGUUUACCAGUUAUUUCUGGAAAAUACCCCCCUUGGUUAUUAGAAUUUCCAGAGUUUCCUGAUGAUGAUUUUAAUGGCAUGCCAGAAUUCUCAGAUUGAAGAAGGUAAGAGUGCAGAAUGGACCAAUGAGAAGCAUAGAUUAUAUCUUGAAUCCAUUGAAACAUCUUUUGUUAAUCGGCUCUAUAAUUCUUCGGAUCUUCUUAGUUGGCGCCAACAAAAAGGGAACUUGUCAAACAUAAAAUCGUCCAGGCAAGCCUGUUGUAAUCCUCGUGUACCCUCUGGCCAGGUUCAAAAUCGACUUCUUAUGUUUCCUGCUUACUUCCUUCUGUAUUGUAUAUAUGUUUUAUAAACAAACAAAAUGUUUAUUCCAUAAUGGAUGCAUUUUUAUUUCUAUAAUGGAUUCCAUGUCAUUACUCCAGUUUAAGGUUCUUCGUCGUGGUUGCUGGCAAAAGGUCAAUUUUGAAAGACCUGGAGUUCAGUUAAACAAGGAAGAUGAAUCCCUUGGGUUUCUGGCAAGUCCUUGGAUUAGGCAUUUUAGUCCUGUGUACAAGCCCCAGGUUUUAGCACCAGCAAGUCUCCAAGGAAGUUCUGCAUUGAAAAGCCAAGCAAUUGCUUCAACUGCGAGGAAAGACGUGCCCUACAACCCCGAAUCAGCUACUGGUUCAAGGCAGUUUCAUGUGUAUCGCUCCCCCUUACAGGAUCAAGAUUUUAUUGACUCCACCGAAGGUAAUGUUUGCUGAUAGACCCUAUACUUUUCAUUACCACCUUCAUGAUGUAUUGCUCCUGUAGACAUGCUUGCUGAAGCCUAAGCUAUCAAUUUUGAAAAGCAAUGAGUAUUACUUAUGCUAGUUUGUCCCAGUAGAUGUGUUGGAUUAAUACUCUGGUGCCACUAUGAGGAUCAGAAAGUAUUUACCUGGGGAGUGUGGUAGAUCAUAAUCAGAAAUGGUCCAAUAUCUAAUCAGUCAGCGAGCAAUAAGAUUAUUGACUUAUCUUGGAUUGUUUACCAGUUCAUAUUUGAAGCGCGUCACUUUGUUUUUUCCAAAUCCAAUUUAUGUUCUAAGGUAGUUUAUGGAUUUUAAGUAAUAAUGCUGAAAAAUAAAAAAUUUUCAGAUAAUGAGUGCAAGAUAUUUUUGUAUUUACAACUUGAACUAUUGAAGGAUUGACAAAUUCAUUAUUUUAUAUAUCAUGUACUGUAGCUAACAAUGCCUGUAGUUAUUCUUCUUAGAAAGCAAUGAUUUAUUUAUUUAUUUUGAGAUAAAAGAGAAAGAAUAUUAUUAUACACAAAAGUAUUAAGGGAGUACCACCCGAAAACACAAAAUUACAAGUCCAUUAGGUAGUCCAUAACAACUCCAAUAUCUUCCCAUUCUAAUAUGUCACGACUUAACAAAAUAGAAUUAAAAGUAUGAAAUCAUCUAUCCCUAAUAUUUACAAUGUCUGUUUCAAUACCUUCAAAAGCCCUAACAUAUUUCUCCCUCCAAACUACCCACAUAAUAGAAAUCGGAAUAAGGAAUAAUUCUUUUUUCUUUUUACAUAAACCAACCCACACCCACAACUAUUCACUAACACUCCCCGCCAUGGCUCAAUUCAUCCCCAUAAUCCCAUACACAUACUCCCAAAUUCUGUACACCAUAGGACAUUGAAGUAACAAGUGGUUGCAAGAUUCUUCAUCGACCUUGCACAUGUAACACCUAUUAACCAUCAUCAUACCUCUUCUUCUCAACAUAUCAAUGGUCAAUAUUUUUUCUUUAACAGCAUCCCAAAUGAAAAAAAGCCAUUCUAGGUGGAGCUUUUGACCUCCAGAUUUGCUUAAACGGUGCUGCCAUAAAAUUAUUCUCACCAUUUUUUACAAUAAAAUUGUAUUAGGACUUCACAGAAAAGUCUCUUUUCUUGUCCGGUUUCCAUAUUCUUUUGUCCUUCAGAUUUCCCACCUUAAAAUCAGCAAGACAACGAAGCAGAUUACAUUAUUCAACCUCUUCGUCAUCCUUCAAAUUUCUCCUGACUCCCCCCAAACUCCCCUCUCGAACACCUUCUCCACAAGGAUAUCCCUCUCCCUAGCGAUCUCAAAGAUCCUCGGGAACUUGUCUUUCAAUUUGAAGUCACCAGCCCACUCAUCCUUCCAUAAAUUAAUUUCAGUUCCAUUACCCAGCUGCCAGCAUAUGCCAUCAUAAAAAUUCUUGCUGUCAAUGUUAAUUUUCUUCCACAAACGUUUUAAAUGGAAUGUUUUAAGAAAGCAACGUUUUAGUUCGUAAAAUUGAUUUGUUUAUGUUUAUCUUAAAAUGUAUUCUGAUUAAAUGGAAUGUCUGAGUCUUGAAGGUUGAAAAAGUGAGAAUAUAGUUUAUACAUGUCUCUAAGUGAAGCAGGAAAUUAUUGUUAGAUUACAUCAUAAUCUUGAUAGCUAUUAGGAGAGGAAUAAAAGGAGAAUAGGGGUGAGGAGAAGAUACUCUAAUCUUUCCCUUCAUUCCUUGUCCAAAAACUUGGAGAACCUUCAUCACCUUCUCUCCAAUGUAGACUUAAUUCGCUACUGAAUGGUUCUCUUUUCAUGGCCUAAGAGAUAUAAUGCAUGGCAUAAUAUUAUACUCAGCAACUGUUUGCUCAUGAAUGCUUUGGAAUACAAUCUUUCUCUGUCUUAGGUUAGUUUUCUUUUUCCAUUUUGGGUCUUGAUGGUGAUGAUGGACAUGUUUUAUAUGCCAGCAGAGGUGUCAGACCAGAAUUUUGUUGAUGAAGAAAUUAGAGGCGAGAAUGCAAGCGGUAUCUGCAGCUCCGAGAAAGACAAGAAUGUUGACAACUAAUUUUCCAAGUGAUUAUCUAGCAAUAUGUCUCUUUAUUUCAUUGUUAAUCAGUUGCCAGAAUCGGAAUAGCUUCAACAAUCUUAUCUAGCUGUCUAAAUGUUAUGCAUUUCUCGUUUUUUCUAGGCCUUCUUAAGCCUCUGGUAACAUGAACAUUUACUUCUCUGGGACUCUGUUAGAAGGUAAGUUACUUGCAUGUGGGGAAUUUAAAUGGUGUAUGAAGUGAUGAAAGAUUUAACGAGGAAGCUGUAUGUAUUAAAAAAAUAGGGGAAGACUUCUGUUACCGAGUUUUGUCUUCAUACUGCCUUUUCCUUUCAUAUUUAAUCUUGUCGCAGCCAUGGGUGCAUCAAUAUUACAAGGUUGGAUGGGCAAUAGCUAGUUGUCUACUGCCUUUGUGGUGUAAUAAGCUUGUCCAGAAUUAUUAGUUUUACUUCUGUUGCUCAUAUGGACAUGGUGGUCAAAAAUACACUAAAAACCUCUGUUUUAGCAGCAAAGUCAACUCUUGAAAAAUAUAUGGCCAAGUCAUUAAUCAUUCAGAUGAUCCUAAAACAUCUGCUAAGCCUUUAAAUUUGCCUGCGAUGAUGAUGACGAUUAUUAUUUUAAAUCAUAGCCCAAGACGAGCUAUUUCUACUUCGCUAAGGGAUUCAUUCAUACGAGGAAAAAGCCCACGCGAUGUUGCGAUAUAAAUUAUUAUUAUUAUUUAUUAUUUUUAGUUUGAUAUUUGAACAUAAUAUCUUAUAAAAUUAUACUUAGACAUUUAGAAUUUGAUUGGAAGAUUUGCAUAAUAGUUCAUUAAUGUUGGGUAUUAUAUGAUAGGUGUAAAGUUCAUUAAUGUUUAAAUUUAAUAAUGUUUGGAUGAUAGUUUAUUAUUAAUAUUUGAUAGUAAUAAUUGUUUUUAUUUGAAUUGACAGUAUGAUAUGAUUGUAUAUUUGAAUAAAUUAUUUAUUUUGUAUCUAUUUUAUUGUAUAUAAUAAUAAAUAAAAAAUAAAAAAUAUAUAGUGUUAAAUAUAUAGAUAUAUAAUUAUAUAUAUAUAUAUACACACACAAUAAAAUAAGAAGAAGAAGCGAUUUUUUUUGAAUUAGAAGAAAAAGAAGAGUAAAAAAUGUCAGGUAGAAUAAUUUAAAAUAAAAGAAAAUUUUGUAAAUAAUAAAAAAAAUAUAAAACCAUCUUAAAAUCAUUUUAAAAAAUAAAAAGAAUUAUAUUUUUAAAAACCACAACUCAACCAACAAAAAAUUAUAUUAUGCGAUUAAAAAUACAAACAAAUAAAAUUAUAAAAAAAUCAUGAUAAAAGAGAAAUACAAAGGUAUUUUGUAUAUUCAAAGGUAUUUUGAAUCUUACUAUUCAAUUUAUAAAAUCUAAAUUACACCUACCUCUAUUAUGCACCAAACCCAAUUAGGGUGACUACAAACUAAACACUUACAAGUACUUAUUAUAUAUAUAUAUAUAUAUGUUUGAGUUAUAAAAAAAAAAGUGGAGGUGUAUUUGCAUGGAAUUAAAAAACCAUCGACCUAAAAUGUUGAUAUCCAUCAAUUCAAAUUGCAAAGAGGUGGGAACCGAGUGUGUAGUGUUAAUGGGAAAAGUGGUGGAUUCAUGGGUGAUACGAUGGGGCAACCCCAAGUAUCUUGGGGAGAUUUUGUUGUCACGUGGACAUUUCAGAAUGUCAAGUCAGCAUCAGCCACGUGUCCACCAACCCAAUAGUGGAGGAUCGACACGUGCCAGUACCAAAGUGAAGGGGAGGGGACCCUUCGCUAUUUUUAUAUAUGUACAUAUAUGUAAUACAGAGAGAAAGAGAGAAACAGUGAGUGCAGACAUGAACAUUACGAGGCAUACACGUAUGGACGCAUAUAUACAUAUAUAUAUAUAUAUAUGUAUGUAUACACAGCAGUUAAAGGAUGCGGUCAAAAUCUAUUCAUUCAGAAAUCAUAUAUAUAUAUAUAUGUAUGUAUGUAUGUAUGUAUGUAUAUGGGUGCAUGAUUGCAGCAUUUGUGGAGAUAGUUAUAUUCUACUAUAACCAUCAUGACAUUAGAAUGAUCAUGUUCGAUGAGUGGAGAUUGAGCUUUGAUCCAUGCACCAAUUCUCUUAUUAUUAUUAUUUUUUAAUUAUGUUUAUUAUAUGCAAUUUAUAAUUUAAUUUGGCUAUAAUCUCUCCAUACAAAAAAUUAACAUUAAUAACUUAAAUGGUAGUUUAAUAAUUAUAUCAGAUUUAUAGUAAUAAUUUAAUACAUUACGAGUUUUAACUUGGUAUUUCUCUAAUUACUUGGGUGAAGAAUCUAUUUUAUUCUCAUAUAUGAAGCUUAAUUCAUCAAACCUAAAUAUAUAAAUCAACACAUUCUCUUUUGUAUGUAUAUGUAUUAAUAUUUGAUUAAGCAAGUAUUGAUACAAAAAAAUUGACUUCAUAUUAGAUUUGUAAACGUGGGUAUCUAUCUUAGUGGCUCUUAUGAUAUAUUAGGUAUGCAAUUGAUCAAUCUCGUAUCUCACUUCUGGUCUAUUUCUUCAUAACAAGCAAAACCCUUCGUUUUUUUUUUUAGUGUAAAUAUUCAUCAGUACAUUAAAAAUAAGUAACUAAAUUAGAAAUUGAAUAAGNNNNNNNNNNNNNNNNNNNNNNNNNNNNNNNNNNNNNNNNNNNNNNNNNNNNNNNNNGAUUAAAUUUAUAUCAAGAAAAGUUAUUUACUAUUGUAAUACCCUAAUUAAUUUUAAUUGUAAUUAAAAUUAAUGAAUAAAUAUAAUUUUUUAAUUUUUAUUGAAUGUAAAAAUAAAGAAAAUUAAAUGGAAGAUGAAAUUGAAGAUAAUUCUUAAAAAAAUGGGUAAAAAUUUAUGUUAUGUGGGUAUUUUAAAAGAAAAUUCAGAAAUUAGUGGUCAAAACGUAAUUUAAGAAAAUUAUGCAACGUAGAACGCCCAGUCAGCAACCCCAACAAACCGGAGUGCGCAGUGUGGCAAGAAACGAUGACGCAGUGUCACGCGGGAGGCCACGCUGGCGAUCUGCGUGUCCGCGAUCCGACGGUCCAGAUUCGUUCCCGUACGCACGGACGGUCCAGAUCCGUUCUCUCAUCAGAUGUGAUCGGAUGACCAAGAUUAAAUGCAAUGAACGGUUCAGAUCAACUUUCUAUUUAAACAUGAUCGGACGGUGCAGAUCAAAUCGUGAUAGACGGUCCAGAUUCACUCCCUAUUUAAUUGCAAUUGAACGGUCCAGAUGAAACGCGAUGGACGAUCAAGAUUAAAAGAGGACGAAUAUAAAUAACCCUCUUGACACCAAACCCUAACCCUAGUCGCCAGACACCCCCGUCGUAAAAGAAGAGCCAGCCACCGGGAAGGAAGCCGCCCGCCGUCCAUCGCCGUGCCAGAGCCACUUCCGAUUGCCAAAAGAGGUAAAAAAAAUUUCAUUGCUCGAAAUUUGAUUUUAAACACCCUCAUGGUCAAAUCGGAGUAAAAAGACUUAUGGAUUAGCUGAAAAUCACGGGUAAAGUCCGGCGGCACCGUCGCAGAAAAUUGCAAAAACAGCAUCUAAUGAGGCCCUUUUCGAUUUUCGUUCUACGUAAUUCUUCCACCAUUGUAUCACCGUUUCCUUCUCUACAGGUUGACUGAAACAAAACACUUAACUGCAAAAGUGAACCAGCGGAAUCGCCACAUCGGAGAACUCCGCCACCAGUAAGUUUCAGUUUUUUGACUUUUUUCAGUCAACCGAGACCUCUUAACGUAUUUUCUCGUAGGGUGGUCGAAUUCGGCCGAAAACGACCUACUCAAGGUAAACCGCAGGUGUGGGCGACGGUGUCGUCGCCGGAGCACGGCGGAGCCGUCGUGCCGGAAUUCUGGAAUUGGCCAAAAAGAGUUCCUAACACUGAAUUUGGAUUUUUUUGAGAUAUUUAUAGGUACUUGAAGCGCGUUUUAAUCUCCGAAGAAAAAUUCAGGGAACCCGAGGACUGCCAGUAGGCGUAGUCAAAAGUUUAGCAUUUCGGACAUCAAUUUGAGUGAGAAUCCCUCACCAUAUUUCCUGUUAUAGAAUUGAAGUUUAAUUUUAAAUAAUAUAGUAUUUUAUAAAAAUUUAGAAAAUAUUCAUAAUUAAUUACAUAUUAUUAAUGAAUGAGGAAUCAGUUAUUUACUAUUGUUUGCUAUGAUUAAUCGAUUACCUGACUGUACCGGCCCCAGAAAUUCAAAAACGAAAUACAUAUAAUAAUCUGAGUGCGAAAGCGAAAUAAAAGAUUAAGGUUAAUAUCCCUUACACAAUAACUUAAAAGUACUAAAUAACAUCACAGAAUAAGUUCUCUAAAAGAAAUAUGAGAAAUGAAAAAAAUAAAGGAAAUUAUGAAGUAUCUAGCAUCUACUCGCCGUCUUCUUGUGGAUCAGGCUCGGGAACUAGGUCCUCCUGAUAUGAAAUGGUUAAAUAAGGAAUGAAGUACACUAACCCAGUAAGAACAUCAUACUAUAUUACCGUCACAGAAGUAAAGGUUGGUAGAAAACCGAAAAUAACCAAUGGAGCAUAAAUUUUAAACCAAUACAGUUAUUUAAAAUAAAAACACUUACCUUUUUUCUUACCAUCGGAGAACCUGUGAAAACAACCUAUAAAGACAAUAACAUCAUACAGAUCACAAUCUCAUGUAUAAUCAGUAACAUAAAAUACAUUAUAAACCCGUAUUCAUUAACAAUAACUGACUAUCACCAUUUCUCAUUUUUCACCAGCUUACUAGUAUCCAUGGGGAUCCAUAGGGGGUCCUCACUACACGUGAACUAUUCCCUUUAAACAAUCUUAAUUCUAGGGUCAUCCCCAUACCCCGUCCGGUAUGAGCACCAAAACAAUAAACCUCAAUACCCCGCCGGUAUGAGGGUGAAGCGGGUCGUCCCUAUACAUUGUCCGGUAUGAGCACCAAAUGACUAAGUCUCCAUACCCCGUCCGGUAUGAGACAACGUUUACGGUAGGGUUCCCUAUGAACCUAGUACGUCCACCAUCUUCCAAGAUAUCUAGUGAGACUGUCAUCUUAUCCAUUUAUCAAAUCACAUCCCAUUCCUAUUUGUCAUUAGUCUCCGUUACCAACUCAAACAUAAAUAUAUAAACAAGUAACGUGAAUUCAACAAAACAAGCAUAUCUUAGAUUCCCAAAAUCAAACAGUAGUGAAGUAAGCAGUGAUUCAUGCAUUUAAAACCAUAGAAUAGAUAAACCAAAUACUAUAAUACAUUUAAAUUGUAAAAUAAAUCAAACAGGAAUCGACAGAGAAUAAUGUUCGAUUUCGGGCUCCAUUAACAACCUUAAUUAAUUAUGCAUAUAUAUUAAUUACACAAAAUACAGUAUUACUAUUUAUUUGAACUUUAAUUCCAUGAUAGGAAAUAGAGUGAGGGGUCCUUACUUGAUUUGACGCCGAAAACUAGAUUUUCAUUGCGCCUAUGGGCGGUUCCUGGGUUCCCUGAAUUUUUUUCAGGAACUGAAACGUGCUUACGAUACCUACACAUGUCCCAAAUAACCUUAAAAUCAGACCCAUGGCCUACUUGGCCAAUUUUGGAAUUCUAUCCGGCGACGGUGAUCUGCUUUGGGUUGGCUGUUUUCGGCCGAAUUCAGCUAAACUUACAUCGGUUCCUAUGAGAAAACACACUUAGGGCUCUCGGUGGGCCAAAAAAAUAUAAAAAAUCGAAACUUACCAGCGGUGGGGCUCUCCGGUGCGGCGGCUCCUCCGGCUCACGUCGCGGUUGAGUGUUUUGCUAUGGUCAACUUGUAGAGGAGGAAACGGUGAAAAAAAUCACAUUGAACGGAAAUCGGAAAUGGCCUCAUCGGAGGUAAAAAUUGAGAGACCAUGCUGCAGCGUCGCUGAGCUUCGACGGCAUUUUUUGACCAACUAGCCGGUCUUUUCGCUCUGAUUUGGCUAUAGGUGGGUUUAGAAUCAAAUUUUGAGCAAAGAGUGGAAUUUUUACCUCGUUUAGUGCCCGAAAAUUGCUCCGGUACCCAAAUUUUCACUCAUUUCCUCCAAAAUUAUUUUCAAUUAAAUUUCUAAAUAAUUUUUACCUAUUUAUUAUUAUUAUUAUUAUUUUCAUUAAAAUAAAUUAAAUUCUAUUAAUACUAAAUUAUAUUUAUAUAGAAUAAAUUAAAUUAAAAUAAAAUAAGAUAAUAUAAUAAUAAUAAAAAUGAAAAGAAAUUUUUGGGUGUUACAACCUGAUUUUACAGUUUUCGAAUGCAUGAUAAUACACUGAAAUUGGUAUAAUGAUUCGAUUGUAUUCAUUUGAUGCAUGUUUUGCUUAUUUUAUAUGAUUACAGUUGAAUUGGAAAACUUAAAAUUAAAGAUAAAUAGAAAAUUAUUUGAUUAAGUGGAUGGAUGAAACGUCAGCUUUACUGGAUAUCCUGGGAGAUGGUGGACGGAUCGGAUACAUAGAAAAUUCUACCGUGAAUGUUACCUCAUACCAGACGGGGUAUCGAGGUUUGAUAAUUUGGUGUUCAUACCAGUUGAGGUAUGAGGACGACCCUUUUCACCCUCAUACUGGAUAGGUGUAUCGAGAUUUGGUAAUUUGGCGCCCAUAUCGGACGAGGUAUGGGGGAUGACCUGUUAAUUGAAAAUGUUAAAGGAAAAAGUUUACGUAUAGUGAGGACAUCCUUAUGGACUCCCAUGAAUACUAGUAGGAUGAUAAAAGAGAAAAUUAUUGUUCCACCAAUUGCAAAUAAAAUUAUGAUAUGUGUUAUAUUAUUGACUUUAUAGAUUGUUUUUGUAAAGCUCGCUACGGUAAGUAGGCGGUAAAUGAUUUUGUUUAAUUAAGAGUUUCAUUAGUUAUUUUUAUGAUUUAUACUAACUUUCAUUUCUGUGUCGGCGAGUAGCGUGAUAUUCUCACUGGGCUAGUAUAGCUCACUCUUUCAUUAACCAUUUCAGAUUAAGAGAACCAUGAUGCAGAGCCCGAUUCACAAGAGGGUUGCGAGUAUGACGUUCAGUUUAUUCAUUUUUAAUUUAUUUUUUUGGUUAUUAAUUGUUCUUUUAGAAUGGUUAUUCCCGUAAGUCCCAUUUGAUACUUUCAUUUAUUGUGUAAGUAAUGUAAACCCUAAUUAUUUAUUUUGCUUACGUACUAAAUUUAUUAUUUUUCUGUUUUAGAAUUCUGGGAUCGUUAUAACUAUAAUAUAUAAAAAAAAAGAUGAGUUUUUACAAUUAAAAAAAAGGGAUAAAAAAAUAGUAAUAUUUGGAAUGCUUAUAAAAUAAUUCAAACUUAAAAUUUGGGAAAAUAUGUGUAUACUCACAUAUUUAUAAACAGCUGAAUUCUAAAGUAAUGAAAAUAUCUUUUUCUUUUUUGGUACAUGUGAAGGAACAUGGUAUCACAUUUAUAAAACAUGAUAAAUGAAGAUACAAAAAUAUCAUAUCUUUAUUCUUCUAAAUAAAAAAAAAGUCAAAAUGACACGACACAUUAUUUGAAUUUAAAAUAAUAAUAAUAAUAAUAAUUAUUCUAUAUUUAUCCAAAACCAAAUAAUGUUCUUUAAGCUUGCUUAAAUUACAUGCACUUAAAUUGAAGCUUUAGGUCCCCCUAAUUAUUGGAGUUUUCAUUUUUAAGAUUCUUUUUUUUUUUUUCUUUUUUCUUGAGGAAAUCAUUUUUAAGAUUCUUACAAAAAUUAGGUCAAAGAGGGUAGCCAAUAACUGAAAAAGCUCAAAGCUACUUUCUACUCCUACCACCUACAAAAUUAUUAUUAUUUCUUAUAAAAAAAAAAACCUAAAAUAAACUAAAUUUAACUAGAAUUAUAUAAUGUUUAAAAGGAAUUUAAUAUAUAUAGAAUUUAAACAAAAUUCUAAAUUAGGUGGCAUUUAUUUUAAUAUACUAGAAAUACCCAUCUUAUUUCAAAUAUAAUUUUAAUUUUGGUUGAGUUGAAAUUCGAGAAUUGAUAUGUAUAUGUAUAUGUAUAUAUAUAUAUAUAUAUGUAUUGGUUUUGAUAUUUUUGUGAUAAAUUUGAUUCAUUGUGGCUAGCUAGGGCGGCACACAAUCUACCUUAGAGGAUUUGGGUUCAAUGCUUUUAUCUUCUCCACCACAAAACAAAUUAAAAAGUUACUUCUUUUGGGAAUCUACAUUUCUCAUACGUUCCCUUUACUUUCUUUUCUUUUCUUUUGGGGUCCACACUAUAUAUUAUAUAUAUAUAUAUAUAUUAUAUUAUAUUAUAUGUAUACGUACUAAGUCUUACUAACAAAAGUAAUUAGAACAGUAAUACAAAUAAAGUGUGAUUGAUAACGAUACCUAGAAAGAAAUGAAAUUAAUUUAUAUUCAUUUGUUUGUUAAUUUACUCUUUUAAAAACUUAUAAUCAAUCAUCGUUUAAUUAAAUAAUUAAUAUAUUUAUUAAAAAAAUGAUAUAUUAUUACAGAUAAAAUAAUACAUCUUUUUUUUUUAUUUUAAUAAAAAGUUAUAAAUUCAAAUCUGAUCGUAUUUUAUUUUUAUUAAUUUUUUUAAAUAAAUUUAUUAAUCUAAAAAACAAAAAUAAAUAAAUAUAUAUAUAUAUAUAUAAAUAGAUUAGAAAAGUCAAAUAGAAAAUUGUAGUUGCUUAUUAUGUAGUGAAUAAAAAUUAAUUUGUAGAUCACCAACUCUAAAUCCCUACACUUUCAACUCAAUAUGUAUAUUUCAGCCUCCAACUUUCUGGAAAUCAUUAAUUCAUCAUUCGUUGUAUAACUUCAAACUAAGAUGCACAAAAAGAUCAUUAGAUUUGUCAAUUUUAAUAUUUUCUAAAAAUGGUAAAUUAGUUUUUCUUUUUCUAUUCCUAAUUUUUUUUUUUAACAUACCCACUAAAGAUAAUUCAAUAAAAAGAAAUUUUAUUAGAUAAAAAAAAAAUUGUAGCAAUUUAGUAAUAUACAUUAAUACAUAAAGCUUUUAUUAUGUAGAUGAAAAGACAUCAUAUUAAAAAAAAAAAAAAAAAUUCAAAAUAAUUCAACACGUGAAUAUCUUAGAAUAUUAAUUUGUUAUUAUAAUAAUUGUUAAUGUGAAGAAGCAAUGGGCCCGGGAAGCUUCUGGAGGCCCGUGAGUGUUUCUAAUAAAAUUACGGAAAUGUCUUUAUAAAUUUAAAAAAAUUUAUCUGUAAUAAAAUAUUUUAACAUUUUAUUUAAAAGUUUUUAAAUUAAAAUUUUAUUAAGCAUGUAAAACUGAUUAUUUUUAACAUAAAUGGCCAACAAGAGUUAAUUCAUAUAUAUAUAUAUAUAUUUGUUUUAAUUACUUUUAAUUCGUGUUAAAGAAAUAUUAUUGUUAUAAUAAAACAUUUUCUGCAGUAAAAAAAAAAUAAAAAAUUCUAGCGAAUAUAUAUAUAUAUGUAUAUAAAAUACUAGGGAAUAAACUAAUUAAAAAUACUCAAGAUUUUUUUAAAAUAAAUAUUAAUGUUGUAGAAAAUGGAAUUUGGGUGAAUCCUUGAAGGUAGUAUCUGCAAUAUGUGUGUAUCUAUCGUCGUUGGGCAUGUUCGUCUAUAUAUAAGUCAACCCCUCUUCGCUCUUGUACCAAAUCAUUUUACUAUAACGACUACUGAAACCUAAAGUCUGACACAUGGAGGAAAUCAAAGAGGGAGAGAUGAACACAGCUCUGGUGUACCUUAUCAUCAUCAUCAUCAUCAUCAUCAUCUUCUCCUCUCUACUGUUAAUCAAAAAGCUUGUUAAAACACACAGAGGCCAUGCAGUAGCCAAGCUUCCUCCAGGCUCAAUGGGAUGGCCUUAUCUUGGAGAAACCCUUCAACUCUACUCUCAGCACCCAAAUCUCUUCUUUACCACCAAACAUAAAAGGUAAACACAUAUCUGUCAUGUAUGUACUAACGUUAAUAUGCGUGCAUGAAAUAUGAAAGGCAUGUGGGUUGGUGUAGGUAUGGGGAGAUUUUCAAGACAAACAUUCUGGGUUACCCUUGUGUGAUGCUGGGUAGUCCAGACGCAGCUCGAUUUGUGUUGGUGACUCAUGCUCACUUGUUCAAGCCAACGUACCCGAAGAGCAAAGAGCGGCUCAUUGGUCCUUCAGCUUUGUUUUUUCACCAGGGACAUUACCAUAUGCGCCUUAGAAAAUUGAUUCAUUCAUCUUUUUCCCUCCACCAUAUCAAAAACUUCGUUCCAACCAUUGAUGCUCUUGCAGUUUCGAUUCUUCAUUCAUGGGAUGCUGCUCCUAUCAUCAACACUUUCCAUGAAAUGAAAAAGGUCCCUCUACUUUUACUAAUAUAAGUAAUAUUUUAUGUUUAUAUGUAUGCAAGUAUUGAUGGGUGACUUGAAUUUUGUUCAGUUCUCUUUUGAAGUAGGGAUAGCAGCAAUUUUUGGACAUUUAGAUAUUGGUUACAGAGAAGAGCUGAAGAAAAAUUAUCGUAUAUUGGAUAAAGGUUACAACUGCUUUCCUACAAAUAUUCCAGGAACUCCCUUCAAAAGGGCAUUAAUGGUAAGUCACAAGCAAUCCCAUUUGAAAUUACUUUUGUCUAUUCUUAAUACUUAAUCCUGUUUUACUACAGGCAAGGAAGAGAUUAAACAAGAUUCUGAGUGAGAUUAUCAAGGAGAGGAAGGAGAAGAGGUUGGUAGAAAAAGAUGUUUUGCGGUGUCUUGUAAACUACAAAGAUGAGAAAGGAGAGGUUUUAAGUGAUGAUCAGAUUGCAGAUAACAUUAUUGGAGUCCUUUUCGCAGCUAAGGACACUACAGCAAGUGUCAUGACAUGGAUUGUCAAGUACCUCCAUGAUAACCCUCAACUUCUAGAAGCUGUUAAGGUAAGAAAUUUUUCUCCUUCACUCAAUUAAUUCAUGCGAGAGGAUUGUGUUAAUUCAUUUUAUGUUCAAAUUAUCUUUUGUAGGCCGAGCAGUUGGCGAUUCGAAGAUUCAAUGACGAACAUAAUGAGCCCUUGAGUUGGUCACAAACUAGGAACAUGCCAAUCACUCACAAGGUAAUUAAAUCAAACAUAACUUGGCAAAAUCUUUACACCCUUACAUCUUGAUAUAAAUGGCUAACACUGGACUUAUUCAGGUUGUAUUGGAGACUUUGAGAAUAGCUAGUAUCAUAUCCUUCACUUUCAGAGAAGCAGUGACUGAUGUAGAAUACAAAGGUAAGAGAGGGAAAUCAACAAUAAAACUUCAUUUUUUAUCCCCAAUUUGUAAAUGUUAAUAAAGAUUGGGUUACAGGGUACUUAAUUCCAAAAGGGUGGAAGGUGAUGCCUAUAUUCAGAAACAUUCAUCAUAAUCCAGAUUUUUUUCCAGACCCUGAAAAAUUUGACCCCUGGAGAUUUGAGGUAUGAGUUAAUCAAUGCUCUUAUUGGUUCUGUGGUUUACUUCUCUGAUAUUUUUCUUUAGAGUGAUGAUGCCCUGUAGAUGUCUCUGUUUCAAACCCAGAAUAAGCUCUUUUCUGGUAUUAAAUGUGGGAUUUUAUGGGUAAUGUAGGUCGCACCAAAACCCUAUACAUUCAUGCCAUUUGGGAGUGGAGUUCAUUCUUGUCCAGGAAAUGAACUUGCCAAGCUGGAGAUGCUUAUAAUAACCCAUCACUUGGUUUCCAACUUCAGGUAUCGCUAAAAAAUACAUGUAAGAAACAUAUGAAGAUGAAUCAAAAUAGUAAAACAAGAUUAUUAAGCAGAGACUACUUACAAGAAACAGAUAUGCUUAAUAAUUUUUUCCUUUUUUCUUGAGAAAUAAAGAGGGGGAAAAUGAGAGAGUAAAUAAGUGGUGGAGGUAGAGAAGAAUUUGAUGAUGAGAGGUAUAAAAACAUGCAAGUGUUGACAAGAAUGUUUUGUUUGUUAUUGCAGGUGGAAACUUAUAGGAUCUGAAGGUGGGAUUCAGUAUGGCCCAUUUCCAGUCCCUCUUCAUGGUCUCCCAGCCAGAUUUUGGAAAGAAUCCACAACUCCAAGCUAAAAGGCAGUUUGGGUCGGCGUGAUAGAUGCCGAGCAUCCCCUUAACAAGUUUAAUCUGCCAUUGAUCACUUACCAUUAUUGUUUUUAUUAGCUUUAUCACUGUCAAUUUCUUAAGUGUAGCCCAUCCCCUUCAAAAAGUUGUGGGGGAUGAUCAGAUGCUGCAUUUUCCACCCUUUCUAAUUUUUCUCCUUCAACCCUUCCCUAUCUCACCUUUGCAACCAGAGGUUCUUGUACUAUUUAAAUAUCAUAUGAUUGAAUAUAUAUAUAUAUAUAUAUAUAUAUAUAUAUGGGAGCAACCCAUAAGAUAAACCAACAUGUCUUCUUUUAUGUGUUGUUGCAAAACAUCAAGGGCAAGCAAAAUGAAAUUGAGUAACAUCUCCUUAUGAAUGUGAGUUAUCAACUGUGAAUCUUUUGUUUAUGCAUGCUAGUCUUUUUGAGCUGAAAGAGUAAAACAUGCCAUGCCAGGAUUGUCCCGAUUCAAAAGGCUGGAUAACUUCAAUCUUUGCUGUCUUUCUCACUGACCCUACAAAGGUGUGGUUAUUAGAGAUAGGUGGCCCUGAAAGCCACCACAUCAGACAUUUUCAGAGGCUAGAUGCACCUGUUUUUGUCUGUACAGUCUUCGGCUGCAUAUUGCAGCCAGAAUUUUUCAAGCUUUUUGCUCGCUAAACACGCGCAUACACGACCACCAAUUUUCCCUGUUUUCUCCUAAAAUAAUCAAAUUAUGUGAAUUAGACACUUUAAAUAACAAAAGAGUUUUAAUGAGUACCAUAGAAGCAACUUGCCAAUCCCAGAAUCCAGUAUUAUCAGCAUACCUACAAUUGUUGAACAGGCCUUGAUGGUUCAUCCAGGCAAAACCAUAAGAAAAUAUUGACACUAAUCAGGACUUAAUCAUUCUCAUCCAGGUCGUGAAGAAGGUUGUACGCAUGAAUUUCUUGUUGGAUUAUACUGCCAAUGUGGUUGACCUCUCAGAUGUACUGUCUCAUAGAUAAGCCAUUCUUCCAAUCAUCUAAGCUACAGCAGCUUUAGGUGAAUCUUAUUGUUAACCUACAAUUGACCAAAUGCAUAUAUGAAAAUUAUACAAAAAAAAGAAAAAAAGAAAAAAAUUGCAUUUAUCAUAGAGCAAAUAGGACAGUAAUAGAGAAUCCUCUAUGUCCACUUACAGACAAUAUAUCUCUUUCAAGUACACCAUAUAUAUCAUAUAAGGAAAUGUAUAUACUAUAGGGCCUGAUCAUAAUGGCAUCUCAUCCGGGUGCCAUUUUUUUUUUAACUUUAAUACAUAAAAAGCUGAUUAAAAACAUGACCAAGUUAGCUUAAAGCAUCUGGAGAUAUGGAGGAUGCAUAUUUAAGAAUUGCUGCCACAAUCUUCUCUUUGUCUCUGGUUGGGAAUGCUUCCAACAGAACUCCAUUUUUGUAGAAGUGGAAGAGGGGCACCGCCUGCAUUAAUUGACCGUCAAUAUUAUUAUUUUUUCAUCUGAUAGAGCAGAAUUCUAGAAAUUUUUUAUUUUUGAAAAAGAAAUGCUGAUUUGUUGGUCAGCUGCAUCUGCCAAAAUCCUCCCAAUUCAAAACAAGAAGUGGCAUAUCGUAACCACAUGUGGACCCAAAAGAAGACAAAUCAUCUUUAUUCUAUUCAUUGUUUCCUCUUCACAGGUUUAAUUGAAAGAAACCUUUAUGACCAGCUGGAAUCUAGCACAUUUUGUGAGGAAUGAAGAUUAUCUUCUAAAAUGAAAACAAAAGUAAGGAAGGUAAGCUAUCUGGAAAGCUCAUAUUACUAUAAAAAUUCCAAGUGAAUGAACAUAUUUGUACCAUUUUAUAAAACCAACCCAAACAAGUUAUCCGUCAAUUUGCAUUUUUUAACAUUCAUUUUUCUAUUGAGUUUUUAAGAUUCAUUUGGCAUUCAUUCAAUUAAAUGGAACAUAAGCUAUUAAUACUAUAGGAAAUUACCUUAAUUCGAAGUCGUUCAGCAACCUCAGACUGUUCAUCAUACUCAUCAAUUACCUGCAAUAGAGACAAGAUCAAUAAGAAUAUCAUGUAGUGAGGACAUGCUCAGGAAUUAGACUGGUAGGAAUUUCUUCAAAGGAAUCUACCACAGCAAACCAUAAAUCACUACCUUUAUAUCUAACCAUUACUGUCCUCCACCAACUUUUUAUGCUUUAGAACCUUUUUCAUCUUUUUACGUUGAUUGCUAUGCAGUAUGGAAGAGUUCAGUUUAUAGAUUAUUAGCACUCACAUUAUGUUUUAGGAAGAUUACGUCAGCUUCUUGAUCACCAGAUCCCUUGCACAAUUUUGAAAAUCCCUGCUCAAUGUAUUUACAACUUCCACAAGAGGUGCGAUAAAAGUCCACUACAACCAAAGAAUCAGUUACUUUGGCCUUUUCGAGAAUUCUAAGGAAUUCUUCAUCUGUCUUAAAUUCUUUAACGCAAUCUACAGGACAUAGAUCAUCAUCUUCAUCAGCUAAUUCCUCUUGCUCUUGGUAUUCCUCAGCUACUCCUUUGAUUUUUGCAUGUCGAAAUAAAUGGCUAAAUUUUAAAAUUCCAAAACCCGCAGUUUGACUGAUAGAUGGAAUUUUGGCCCUCAUAGAACAACAAUUGACCUGAUCUCUGCUGGGAUGCCAGCUGGGAACCAUAUAAGUUUCCCUAAAAUUAAGUUGUCCACAAAUUUUCCUCUCAAAAUUGAAAGAGGCCUUACUAUAAAGAAUAUUCUCCUUAGGCAUGAUAAUGUACAGCAAAAUCACCAGAGAAAUCUAUAUACCAUGAAAAUGAAAGGAUUUAUAAAAUAAAAUUCGGGUUUCCCACUUCCUUUCUUAUUGUUUCAUUCUAUCAUCGGAUUGUGAUAGACAACACUUUUGUGAUAAACAUACUCAUUAUAUAUCACUCGCUGUUAAAAUGAAAAACAAUAUAAUUAGAAUCUUCCCCUAACAGAAUAUAAAAAAAUCUAUAUCUUCUCCCAAUGAGAAAACAGUAUAACAGCUGUAUGUAAGCACUAAAAGAUUAAUCUACUAUACAGCAUCAAAAAAGUAGAAAUUACAGACUAAAAGUUAGAAGCCAUAGAUAUAUUAUAGUGCUUUCCGUCGGUUAACUGACCCAAAAGUAAAUUCUGCAUUUUUUAGGAGCAUCUUUCAGAAAUAGACAACAGUACCCAACUUUCAUUACUAUCACCAGAGUAACACCACAAAUUAGCAAGAAUGAACACUCUAUCAUCUUAGCCCAGUAAAACAGAAGAAACAGGAGAUGUUUUACUUCGAACAUGUCUACUCCAUGGUAAAACAGAUAAGUACCACCAGAAAAGCCACACUAGCAGAUAUGGGCAGAGAACGUGCAUAUAGAAGAAAAAAGGAAAACCGAGGAAGACUAUAAACUAAACUUAAGUAGCCAAUUGCACUUUAAAAAAUUCUAACAAGGUAGGCUUAUAAGUCACUAUUCCACACUCUUGAAAACAAUAACCUUGCCAGCCAGUUGACAAUCAAUCAACCCAACAAAGUUACAGAAACAUACAAAAGAGUUUUAAAUUACAAUCUAACCGAUCACAAAAACCCAGAACGAAAAUGGAUUGAAUAGAGGCAGAGAAUGAUAAAUUUCUUCUCAGCCAACCAAGUAAUUAAUAAGCUGUUACCUUUAGAACUGAGACAAAGGUUUCUGGCAGAAAAAGCUUCGAGCAAGAAACGGACACGCCAUAUCCAUAUCCGCUCUGCUGUCCAUUCCCUAUCCGGAGGAACAUGCCUAUAGUUCUUCCCUUUUUUUUUUGCCCCCUGCAAUGGGCCAAGUUUGUUGUUGGAUCGGGCUCAGUUUGUCCGUAAAAGUGCUUAAUGUUUUUUUUUUAACAAAAAAAACACCCAGUAAACA